GUAAUGGGUGAGGUUGGGAGCUUCACCUUGAUGAUGCCUUCAUGAAUGAAACGAUGAUAAGGGCAUCGUCAUCACCGGCUCCGGCCAACGACCGAAGACCAAAUUUUCACCUGGAUCCGUCCCAAGAAAUCCACCCGACAACCUAUGCACGGUCUCGACCGCCUUCAAAGCCCCAGAUCUAGCCGCCUAGAUCCGGCGACCAACCACAACAACAGUGCCACCGUAGGAGCCCUGGCGCACCGGCCACUUCCUGAGUGCGCCACCACUAGAGUCUGGGAGGAGGGCUCUCACCCCACCUCGCCAAACCGCGAGAGCCGCCGAGAUGACCCCGCACACUAAUCACCGUCUCUGAUCUGAACCAAUCUGCGACAAAACCACGGGAUCGGCGAUGCAGAUCCGCCUUGGAUAGGGACAGCACCACGCCAUGCCGCCGCGGGAAGCCUGAGCUUCACCUGCCGCCACCUUUCAGGGCCGCCGCCCGGGAUCCAGCCGCCGCCGACAGGCCGAGCUACCGGCCACCGCGACCAAGCCCGCAUGACCCGUGAGCUCAUCGAACGACUGGCGCCACCAGAUCUUCCUCGGAGCCUAGCAGCUCCGCCGCCCCCGCCCAGCACCACGCCGCCGCCUAGACGCGCCGCGACGACGCAGAUAGGGGGAGAGCGCCCCGGCGCCAUGGGUGACCCGCCUCACCUGAUCUGGCGCGGGAGGGAAGAGAGCCUCCGCCGUCGCCAUCAGCCGCCUGGGGCUUCGCUCGGCGACCUCCUCUAGCGGCGGCGGAGGGGAGGGGGAGGAUGGACGUGCCCGGCGGCGGGGGCUAGGGUUUCCACCCGAGCCGCCCUAGAGGGAGGGCGUCGCGAGCUUACCUAGAUGAGUUUGUUAUGGAGGUUGUUAACUUAGGGUCCAUGUUAGCUAGUGUGCGGCCAUGCUUCUCUCUUUCUCAACCUUAUCGACAUGAUUCAAAUUCUAGAGUUUCAGAAGAAAUGAAGGAAGGUUACAAGAGCCUUAGGGGCACGCGCAUGAAGACUUCCCGGGUGUCAUCGAGGCCAGGCCGACUCCGGUAGGUGAGCGGUGACAGUGGCUCGUCCUGGUCGCGGUAGUGACUGUUCGAUGGUCCAGAGAUUUCUGGAUUCCCACGUGAUUUUAUUAUGUUGGGGAUGCUCUACACUUCUGGUGAACCUUUAUAGUAGAUCUGAAUCCUUUUCGCAAAAAGCAGCACUGCUACGAGAAGAGAGGAUGAGGGGGUGCUUCAAGAAGUUGAUAAAAUUUUCCACAAACUUGGUAAAAGUUUGUAUAGUUUGACAAUGAAAAAAUUCAAAUAUUUUUUUGGAAUGGACGGAGUACUUGUAGCAAGACUUGCACAGGGAGAAUAGACCCAAUAGUGCGUUAUCUAUAGAAAACGUAGUUCUUUUUUGGGCGAGAUAAGCCCAAAGUAGUUUGUGAAAAUAUUCUCCAUAAAUUCAAAAUUUAAAUGUAAUAUAUAUAGUUAAUCAACAUUUACCACCUAAUUUGUAACUUGUGGCAAAUGUAUGCCCAAAUUAGAAUCCCGGCCACUUCAUACCUCAAACUUUCAUUCUGCAAAAUGUUUCCCCUCAUGUUACAGAUUUGCACCAUGCUUUUAUUCACUCUUAAGUUUAAAUUUACGCCAAGAUUUACCCUGUAAAUAAGUUUCCACCUUUCUUAUUGGCACAAGUGUAAAGCUUGGGGUAAAUCCUUUCCACAUAAUCCCUGUCAAAAAUGAUAAAACUAAAGGUACAAAGUAAUUUUUUUAGUAUAUAUCAUCACACAAUCAUAGUACAACCAGCACACACAAGCCAUCAUCCUCCGUACAAGCCAGAAAAGUAAAUAAGAACAAUCACAAGAUUUACAUGGGCAUCAUGCCCUAAUCUUGAUUGAUCUUGACAUUAUAUAGCAUGGGAUGACUUAAUGGUGGUGGGUUACAACACACCACUUAUUUAAUCCAACCGGCAAUAUAAGUAAUGACGAUACUAUGUCUGGCAUGGUUGAUGUACCCGAACAUCUCAUGCCAACAAUUACUCUUGGACGUUUGCUUCACCAUUUCCUUUUUCUGCUUGAGUCCCAAGUGGUGGUUUUGGUUGUGCAUUCGGGUCAGGCAGUGGUUGUGGAUUCGGGUCUGGUAAUGGUUGUGGGUUUGGAUCAGGUUGCGGUCCUGGUAAUGGCUGAGGGUUUGGGUUUGGCUGUGGGUCCGGCAAUGGCUUCGGGUUUGGGUCUGGUAAUGGUUGCGGGUUUGGAUGAGGUUGUGGUCCUGGUAAUGGCUGAGGGUUUGGGUUUGGCUGUGGGUUCGGCAAUGGUAUCGGGUUUGGGUCUGGUAAUGGUUCUGGGUUUGGAUCAGGCUGUGGUCCUGGUAAUGGCUGAGGGUUUGGGUUUGGUUGUGGGUCCGGCAAUGGUUUUGGGUUUGGGUCUGGUAAUGGUUGUGGAUUUCGAUCAGGCUGCGGUCUUGGUAAUGGUUGAGGGUUUGGUUUUGCUCGUGGGUCUGGUAGUGGCCGCGGCUUUGUGUUUGGCUGUGGGUUCAUCAACUGUUGCAGGUUUUGUCCUGGCAAUAGUUGUGGAUUUGGGUCAGGNNNNNNNNNNGUUGUGGGUUUGGAUCAGGUUGCGGCCCUGGUAGUGGCUUAGGGUUUGGGUUUGGCUGUGGGUCCGGCAAUGGUUUUGGGUUUGGGUCUGGUAAUGGUUGUGGAUUUCGAUCAGGCUGCGGUCUUGGUAAUGGUUGAGGGUUUGGUUUUGCUCGUGGGUCUGGUAGUGGCCGCGGCUUUGUGUUUGGCUGUGGGUUCAUCAACUGUUGCAGGUUUUGUCCUGGCAAUAGUUGUGGAUUUGGGUCAGGGUGUGGUCCUGGUAAUGGUUGAGCGUUUGGAUCAGGUUGUGGAUCUAGCAGUGGUUGUGGGUUUGUAUGAGGUUUAGGCUCGGGUAGCGGUUGCGGCUUUGGGUCUGGUUGUGGUCCCGGCAAUGGUUGAGGGUUUGGAUCUGGCUGUUUUCCUGGUAGUGGUUCUGGAUUUGGGUUCGCCCGUGGGCCGUACUGAGGGUCUCUAGUGAUCAGGUUGUGCCUCCCGGCAGCAAGAGCAAACACUGGAAGAAGCAUAAGCAGCAACGGUGCUACGAGAAGAGAAGACGCGGAUGGGCGCUUCCUCAUCGUCAUGGCUAAGCUUGUGUUGGUACGAACUUGCAAGUGCGUGCGUCUCGAUCUUCCUAUUUAUAAGCGAAUUCAGCCAUCAAGGCUGGACAAGCAUGUACGUUGUUUACUCCAACUCUGAUUGGGCUUGUUAGCUUUGCCUUUUUGAAGAUGCGGGACUGCACGCCUCCGCUUAGUGCUCUAACCAGCAGCUAGCCACAAUAAAAAGUCAUUUAGAAAAGUUUUGAGUUAUCAUCAUAAAGAAAAAGUUUGUGUAGUUUUCGUCUGGAUAGAUGUGACAUUUUUCAGUUGAUCGUAGGAGAGCAACAUGCAGAAGCAUACAGUUGCCCAAGUUGUGAACAACCUGAUCACUUUCAGUAAUUCUGUUGAAUUCAUAGCAGGGUAGCAGAUGGCUGUGAGCAUGGAAUUUGUAAAUCAUGUAAUUUUUUUUAAAAUAAGAAAAAUCAUGUAAACACGUAUACAUGUUAUUUGCGUGUCCAAGAAGUUUAAUUAAGCCAUACACAGAUUUGUAGGCUACAUAAAAAAAAUCCAGCCCAAAUGCAAUAGAAAUAAGCCUAUUUUAAAUUAUGUAUUUGUCGUUUUCCCCUUUGUGUAGACUAUAUAUGAUUUUUUUUCAAAUAUAUUUUGUUGAAAUUUUGUAUGAACACACUAUACCUUUUUUAUUGAAAAUUUUGAGGUGCAAGAAUAAAGUUCUUGAUAAAAAAUAAAGAAGCCUGUACGAUGUAUUGUUGUACACAGGAAUAUCGUGGAUUCUAAACUUGAGGUUUGCAUGGAUGGAUUUUUUUUACGGAAUCUAGUUUAAAUGAGUCCUAUUGUUUCCCGUAUGAAUUCCUAUUCUAUGACUCAAACAACACAUACAGAAAAAUUUUCUAAGGAUUAGAUUCCUCCAAAAUUCUAUUAAAAGUUUAAAACCCCUUUGAAUCAAAGAAGCCUAUUCCCCCCAAAAUAAAGAAAAGAAUCAAAUGAGCUCGGGUGAACAGUAAAAUCAAAACUAAAUCAAUUUUUUUUUAAAAAAAUCCAAUUUUUUUUGGGAGAAAAAGUUCUAAGUGCUUGCAAAAAUUCGCCAUGAAAUCACAUUUCUAGAAGGCGUGGCAAAAAAAAAAAACAAAAUCAGUACUCUGAAAAAGCUACUUUCAAAAGCAUUUUGGAGCACUGAAUUUGUUUUUUUUGCCACGCUUUACAGGAAUGUGAUUUCAUGAUGAAUUUUUGCAAGCACUUAAAACUUUUGUUAAUGUUUCUCCCAAAAAAAAUUGGGAAUUUUUUGAAUUUUUUUUGAAUUUUUUUCGAUUUUACUGUUCACCAAGCUCAAAUGAGCUCGGGAGCAGAAAGGCACUUUCGAUCAAAGAAGCCUAUUUCGCAGCAAAGCUAGUGGCUGUCCUAUCGGACAGUGAUGCACCUUUAAGUACGCGGUUUCUAAUAAUCACGAUCAGUGCACGCCGUGCACAGUGCACUCAUUUCGGUUGUAGAUGUAACUUUCACAUUUCAUACACCAAUCACGAUCAGUUGCUUGUUGGCACGGGCGGAGCUCCGUAGGGGCAGACCUGGGCCAUGGCCCGCCCAGGAAUUUGACAAAAAAAGUUUUUACUACUAGUCGUCUUAGCCCAGCCCACUAGCCCACGCACGCACUGAAUAUCCCCCCAUCGGCCAUCGUCUCCUCGUCUCGCGCACGCUGCACGCACAGGCACACUCACGCCUUCCCCAAUUCCCCAUCCUCUCAGUCCCAGACUCAUGUAGGUUGUAGCCACGCCGCCGACGACUACCGACGUGGACAGGGAACACGUCCACACGGUCCACCGGAGCGCGCCGCCCGCCAUCUCUCGGAGCAACCGCCAUGGCAACGCCCGCCGGGAUCUCGCCUCGCCCCUGCCCUGCUCCCUCCUGCCGCCCAUCAUCCGCACACUUACANNNNNNNNNNNNNNNNNNNNNNNNNNNNNNNNNNNNNNNNNNNNNNNNNNNNNNNNNNNNNNNNNNNNNNNNNNNNNNNNNNNNNNNNNNNNNNNNNNNNNNNNNNNNNNNNNNNNNNNNNNNNNNNNNNNNNGCAAUAACCUGAUUUUGUUCAUUUCCAUACACCCAGUGAUCAGUCCUGCUAGUGAUAAAUAAUAGUCUGAUGAUCUGAUCUUACGCAAAUUUUAACAUAGGUAGUCGGGAAAGGAAAAUAAGACUCAGAGAAGAAGAAGAUCACUGCACAAUAAGAUGGAAGAUGAGAAUCUGGCUAAUAACUUGUUAGUUCACAUAGAUGGUGGAAUUCUAGAAAACUACAGCCACGAAGAUGUCAUUGCAGAUUUUAUAAACAAGAAGAUCGGAGAGUUGAUUGUAUGUGAGUAGGUCCAUGUCUAAUGUCUCUGACACUUUUGUAUUAUCUAACUCAAUAGUGAAACAUGGUUGAACUGUACUUUGGUACAUAUAUAUAUUAUAUAUAUACAUAUCUGCUAGCUCAAUCUUGUGACCUGGGUGCUUGUAAUAUGUCCUUAUGGGUAAGAAUUUAGAAAAAAUUGUGUUCUUCUUCAGUCUGGCCCGCCCAACUUUUUCGUUCAAGCUCCGCCACUGCUUGUUGGUGCACAUCCAAUGCUCUAGAAUAAAACAAAAAGUACUCCUAUAUACAAAACGUACUUUACCUAACCUACCGAUUGAAUCGUAUACAUAGAUGAAAAAGAAAAGACAUCCGUAGAGUCCCAAGUUACCUACCGAUUGAAUCGUAUGUAUAGAUGAAAAAGAAAAGACAUCCAUAGAGUACCAAGUUACCUACCGAUUGAAUCAUACAUAUAGACGAAAAAGAAAAGACAUGCAUAGAGUACCAAGUUAAAGACGAUAUGACCUCACAACUAGAUUGGGUUGGGUGAGUGGAGUGCCACUUUAAUCCUUGUCUGGAGCACGCGCUAUGAUAUUUCUUCAGAGGCGCUGAAGUGGGGAACAAGACUGAUAGAACAAACAACAAGUGAGAUAUUUUGAGCUUCACUAGGUUGGAGGCCUGGUGUGCUCAGAAUUUAUCAGGGUGUAUUCAGGUUGCAGCACUGCUGCCAAGGCAUUUCUCCAGCUUCGCUCUGAAGAUCUUUUGCUUUGCUUUGUUCCUCUGUUUGUUUGUAAUGAAGUUCCCGUGUUUUGUGAUGGUUGCAAGUUCCCUGUAGUCUUUAUAUAUUUGGCUCAAGGGUGCCUGAAAAUUUCAUAGUUAUGUUUAAAAAAAUGCCGUAGUUGUUAGUUUUUGGACCAUCUAUCUAAAUCUAUCAAAGACCCUGUUGCCCGAGCUAGCCAAUCAAAGUUGGGCCAUUUGCAUCAAGCUAGGUAGGAUGCGUCGCCGGAAAACCCAAAUCGCUAAUUAAGGAGUACUCUUUGCAAAGGUCACUCCUACCAUGUCGCAACUAGUGAGUUUUCCUUUUUUUGUCGAUUCGUUUAUUCAACACGUUUUAUCGGUUAAAACAUGCAUUCACAUCUUGAAUCGUUUUCUCCAUUGUAUUCCUCGCACUGAGAUCUUGAAAAUUAGAUCCGAUCUGAUAGGUUUUGAUGAACGUUUUACUUUACGAAAAAUACCGAACAAAAAACAAACCGGGAGCACAUUUUUUCCUUUCUGAAAAGGGCACAAUCGUGCCUCUCGUGUCGUUACAAAUCUUAUCUCUGUUCGUCGUUACAAAUCCUAUGAAUUGCUAUUCUAUCUUCACAACAUCCUAUACUCCCCUUGUGUCGUUACAAAUCUUAUCUCUGUUCGUCGUUUUUGCAUUGACAAUUCAGUAACAAUUGAGUUUUACCCCCUUGACUUUGUUGUGAAGGAUCUAGCCACUCGGACUCCUUAUGAGCCGCAGUAGCUACGGCCAGCUUUACUCCUUCUCCGGCGGCACCACCAACCACCAGGCGGUGCUCUCUAUGGACGUUGGAAACUUGUGGCAUCAGCGAUUAGGGCACCCCAGUGCUGCCUCCCUUUCCCGUUUGGCGAGCAGUUUUUAACCAAAUUGUAAUAAGCCAGUCCACCCCAUGGUACUUGUCAUGCAUGUCAAUUAGGCCACCAUGCUCUCCUUCCUUUUUCCAGAUUCUCUGUCAUUUACUACUUUUCCUUUUCAACUAGUGCACUAUGAUAUAUGAACCUCAACAAUUGCGAGUUUUUCCGGCUUCAAAUAUUAUUUGUUUGUCAUAGACGACUUCACUCACUUCCCUUGGAGCUUCCCGCUACACCAUAAGCCCCAUGCCGCUGCCACCCUUGAACGCUUUUACCAGUACGUGCUCAUACAAUUCCGUGUUUACAUACAGUGUGUCCAAUGUGAUAAUGGGGGCGACUUCCUCAACGUUCACCUAUGCACUUUCUGUUGGGGAACGUUGCAGAAAACAAAAAUUUUCCUACGGUUUCACCAAGAUCCAUCUAGGACUUCAUCUAGCAACGAGUAAUCGGAUUGCAUCUACGUACCUUGUAGAUCGCGAGUGGAAGCGUUCAAAGAACGGGGAUGAGGGAGUCGUACUCGACGUGAUCCAAAUCACCGGAGAUCCUAGCGCCGAACGGACGACACCUCCGCGUUCAACACACGUACGGUCAGCGUAACGUCUCCUUCCUCUUGAUCCAGCAAGGGGCAAGGAGAGGUUGAGGAAGAUGGCUCCAGCAGCAGCACGACGGCGUGGUGGUGAUGGAGCUGCAGUACUCCGGCAGGGCUUCGCCAAGCUCUAUGGAGGAGGAGGAUGUGUUGGAGAGGGAGAGGGAGGCACCAAAGGCAAAGGUAAGAGGUCCUCCAUCCUCCCCACUAUAUAUAGGGGGGCCUAGGGGGGGACGCCGGCCCUAGGAGAUGCAAUCUCCUAGGGGGGCGGCGGCCAAGGGGUGGGGGACUUGCCCCCCAAGCAAGGGGGCGUCCCCCCCCUUUAGGGUUUCCCCCACCCUAGGCGCAUGGGCCCUAGGGGAAGUGGCGCCCCAGCCCACUUUGGGCUGGAUCCCUUCCCACUUCAGCCCAUGGGGCCCUCCGGGAUAGGUGGCCCCACCCGGUGGACCCCCGGGACCCUUCCGGUGGUCCCGGUACAAUACCGGUGACCCCGAAACUUGUCCCGAUAGCCGAAAUAGCACUUCCUAUAUAUAAUUAUUUACCUCCGGACCAUUCCGGAACUCCUCGUGAUGUCCGGGAUCUCAUCCGGGACCCCGAACAACAUCCGGGUUACUGCAUAUACAUAUCCCUAUAACCCUAGCGUCACCGAACCUUAAGUGUGUAGACCCUACGGGUUCGGGAGACAUGUAGACAUGACCGAGAUCGCUCUCCGGUCAAUAAACAAUAGCGGGAUCUGGAUACCCAUGUUGGCUCCCACAUGCUCCUCGAUGAUCUCAUCGGAUGAACCACGAUGUCGAGGAUUCAAGCAACCCCGUAUACAAUUCCCUUCGUCAGUCGGUAUGUUACUUGCCCGAGAUUCGGUCGUCGGUAUCCCAAUACCUCGUUCAAUCUCGUUACCGGCAAGUCACUUUACUCUUACCGUAAUGCAUGAUCCCGUGACCAGACACUUGGUCACUUUGAGCUCAUUAUGAUGAUGCAUUACCGAGUGGGCCCAGUGAUACCUCUUCGUCAUACGGAGUGACAAAUUCCAGUCUUGAUCCGUGUCAACCCAACAGACACUUUCGGAGAUACCCGUAGUAUACCUUUAUAGUCACCCAGUUACUUGUGACGUUUGGUACACCCAAAGCACUCCUACGGUAUCCGGGAGUUACACGAUCUCAUGGUCUAAGGAAAAGAUACUUGACAUUGGAAAACUCUAGCAAAUGAACUAUACGAUCUUGUGCUAUGUUUAGGAUUGGGUCUUGUCCAUCACAUCAUUCUCCUAAUGAUAUGAUCUCGUUAUCAAUGACAUUCAAUGUCCAUAGUCAGGAAACCAUGACUAUCUUUGAUCAACGAGCUAGUCAACUAGAGGCUUACUAGGGACAUGUUGGUGUCUAAGUAUUCACACAUGUAUUACAAUUUCCGGAUAACACAAUUAUAGCAUGAAUAAAAGACAAUUAUCAUGAACAAGGAAAUAUAAUAAUAAUGCUUUUAUUAUUGCCUCUAGGGCAUAUUUCCAACAGUCUCCCACUUGCACUAGAGUCAAUAAUCUAGUUACAUUGUGAUGAAUCGAACACCCAUGGAAUUCUGGUGUUGAUCAUGUUUUGCUCUAGGGAGAGGUUUAGUCAACGGAUCUGCUACAUUCAGGUCCAUAUGUACUUUACAAAUAUCUAUGUCUCCAUCUUGAACAUUUUCACGAAUGGAGUUGAAGCGACGCUUGAUGUGCCUCGUCUUCUUGUGAAAUCUGGGCUCCUUGGCAAGUGCAAUAGCUCCAUGUUGUCACAGAAGAGCUUCAUAGGCCCCGAUGCAUUGGGUAUGACUCCUAGGUCGGUGAUGAACUCCUUCACCCAAAUUGCUUCAUGCGCUGCCUCCGAGGCUGCCAUGUACUCCGCUUCACAUGUAGAUCCCGCCACGACGCUCUUCUUGCAACUGCACCAGCUUACUGCCCUACCAUUCAAAAUAUACACGUAUCCGGUUUGUGACUUAGAGUCAUCCAGAUCUGUGUCGAAGCUAGCAUCGACGUAACCAUUUACGACGAGCUCUUCGUCACCUCCAUAGACGAGAAACAUUUCCUUAGUCCUUUUCAGGUACUUCAGGAUAUUCUUGACCGCUGUCCAGUGUUCCUUGCCGGGAUUACUUUGGUACCUACCUACCAAACUUACGGCUAGGUUUACAUCAGGUCUGGUACACAGCAUGGCAUACAUAAUAGAACCUAUGGCUGAGGCAUAGGGGAUGAUACUCAUCUCUUCUAUAUCUUCUGCCGUGGUCGGACAUUGAGCUGAGCUCAAUUUCAUACCUUGCAACACAGGCAAGAACCCCUUCUUAGACUGAUCCAUAUUGAAUUUCUUCAAUAUCUUAUCAAGGUAUGUGCUUUGUGAAAGACCUAUGAGGCGUCUUGAUCUAUCUCUGUAGAUCUUGAUGCCUAAUAUAUAAGCAGCUUCUCCAAGGUCCUUCAUUGAAAAACUCUUAUUCAAGUAGGCCUUAAUGCUGUCCAAAAGUUCUAUAUCAUUUCCCAUCAAAAGUAUGUCAUCUACAUAUAAUAUGAGAAAUGCUACAGAGCUCCCACUCACUUUCUUGUAAACACAGGCUUCUCCAUAAGUCUGCGUAAACCCAAACGCUUUGAUCAUCUCAUCAAAGCGAAUGUUCCAACUCCGAGAUGCUUGCACCAGCCCAUAAAUCGAGCGUUGGAGCUUGCACACCUUGUCAGCAUACUUAGGAUCGACAAAACCUUACGGCUGCAUCAUAUACCAUUCUUCCUUAAGGAAACCAUUAGGAAUGCCGUUUUGACGUCCAUUUGCCAUAUUUCAUAAUCAUAGAAUGCGGCAAUUGCUAACAUGAUUCGGACGGACUUCAGCUUCGCUACCGGUGAGAAAGUCUCAUCGUAGUCAACCCCUUGAACUUGUCGAUAACCCUUAGCGACAAGCCGAGCUUUAUAGAUGGUCACACUACCAUCCGCGUCUGUCUUCUUCUUAAAGAUCCAUUUAUUUUCUAUGGCUUGCCGCUCUACGGCCAAGUCAGUCAAAGUCCAUACUUCGUUUUCAUACAUGGAUCCUAUCUCGGAUUUCAUGGCUUCCAGCCAUUUGUCAGAAUCCGGGCCCGCCAUCGCUUCUUCAUAGUUUGAAGGUUCACCGUUGUCUAACAACAUGAUUUCCAAGACAGGGUUGCCGUACCAAUCUGGUGCGGAACGUGUCCUUGUGGACCUUCGAAUUUCAGUAGGAGCUUGAUCAGAAGUAUCUUGAUCAUCAUCAUUAACUUCCUCUCUAGUCGGUGCAGGCACCUCAGGAACAUUUUCUUGAGUUGCGCCAUUUUCCGGUUCAAGAGGUAAUACUUCAUCAAGUUCUACUUUCCUCCCAUUUACUUCUUUCGAGAGAAACUCCUUCUCUAGAAAGGAUCCAUUCUUGGCAACAAAGAUCUUGCCUUCGGAUCUGAGGUAGAAGGUAUACCCAAUAGUUUCUUUAGGGUAUCCUAUGAAGACGCAUUUUUCCGACUUGGGUUCGAGCUUUUCAGGUUGAAGUUUCUUGACAUAAGCAUCGCAUACCCAAACUUUUAGAAACGAUAGCUUAGCUUUCUUCCCAAACCAUAAUUCAUACGGUGUCGUCUCAACGGAUUUCGACGGAGCCCUAUUUAAAGUGAAUGCGGGAGUCUCUAAAGCAUAGCCCCAAAAAGAUAGCGGUAAAUCGGUAAGAGACAUCAUAGAUCACACCAUAUCUAAUAGAGUGCGAUUACGACGUUCGGACACACCAUUACGCUGAGGUGUUCCAAGCGGCGUGAGUUGUGAAACUAUUCCAUAUUUUCUUAAGUGUGUGCCAAACUCGUGACUCAAGUAUUCUCCUUCACGAUCUGAUCGCAGGAACUUGAUUUUCCUGUCACGUUGAUUCUCAACCUCACUCUGAAAUUCCUUGAACUUUUCAAAGGUCUCAGACUUGUGUUUCAUUAAGUAGACAUACCCAUAUAUACUCAAGUCAUCAGUGAGGGUGAGAACAUAACGCCACCGUGAGCCUCAACAGUCAUUGGACCGCACACAUCAGUAUGUAUGAUUUCCAAUAAGUUGGUUUCUCGCUCCAUUGUUCCUGAGAACGGAGUCUUGGUCAUUUUACCCAUGAGGCAUGAUUCGCACAUGUCAAAUGAUUCGUAAUCAAGAGACUCUAAAAGUCCAUCAGCAUGGAGCUUCUUCAUGCGUUUGACACCUAUGUGACCAAGGCGGCAGUGCCACAAGUAUGUGGGACUAUCAUUAUCAAUCUUACAUCUUUUGGUACUCACACUAUGAACAUGUGUAGCAUUACGCUCGAGAUUCAUUAAGAAUAAACCAUUCACCAUCGGAGCAUGACCAUAAAACAUAUCUCUCAUAUAAAUAGAACAACCAUUAUUCUCGGAUUUAAAUGAGUAGCCAUCUCGAAUUAAACGAGAUCCUGAUACAAUGUUCAUGCUCAAAGCUAGCACUAAAUAACAAUUAUUAAGGUUUAAAACUAAUCCCGAAGGUAAAUGUAGAGGUAGCGUGCCGACGGCGAUCACAUUGACCUUGGAACCAUUCCCGACGCGCAUCGUCACCUCGUCCUUCGCCAGUCUCCGCUUAUUCCGCAGCUCCUGUUUUGAGUUACAAAUGUGAGCAACCGCACCGGUAUCAAAUACCCAGGAGCUACUACGAGUACUGGUAAGGUACACAUCAAUUACAUGUAUAUCACAUAUACCUUUCGUGAUGCCGGCCUUCUUGUCCGCUAAGUAUUUGGGGCAGUUUCGCUUCCAGUGACCACUUCCCUUGCAAUAAAAGCACUUAGUCUCGGGCUUGGGUCCAUUCUUUGGCUUCUUCCCGGCAGCUUGCUUGCCGGGCGCGGCAACUCCCUUGUCGUCCUUCUUGAAGGCUUUCUUACCCUUGCCCUUCUUGAACUUAGUGGUUUUAUUCACCAUCAACACUUGAUGUUCCUUUUUGACUUCUACCUCAGCUGAUUUCAGCAUUGCAAAUACGUCAGGAAUGGUCUUUUCCAUCCCCUGCAUAUUGAAGUUUAUCACAAAGCUCUUGUAGCUCGGUGGAAGCGACUGAAGGAUUCUGUCAAUGACCGUGUCAUCCGGGAGAUUAACUCCCAGCUGAGUCAAGCGGUUAUGCAACCCAGACAUAAUGAGUAUGUGCUCACUGACAGAACUGUUUUCCUCCAUCUUACAGCUGAAGAACUUGUCGGAGACUUGAUAUCUCUCGACCCGGGCAUGAGCUUGGAAAACCAUUUUCAGCUCUUCGAACAUCUCAUAUGCUCCGUGUCUCUCAAAACGCUUUUGGAGCCCCGGCUCUAAGCUGUAAAGCAUGCCGGACUGAACGAGGGAGUAGUCAUCGGUACGUGCCUGCCAAGCGUUCAUAACGUCUUGUUCUGCAGGGAGAACAGGUGUGUCACCUGGCGGUGCUUGUAGGACAUAAUCUUUCUUGGCAGCUAUGAGGAUGAUCCUCAGGUUUCGGACCCAGUCCGUGUAGUUGCUGCCAUCGUCUUUCAGCUUGGUUUUCUCUAGGAACGCGUUGAAGUUGAGGACUACGUUGGCCAUUUGAUCUACAAGACAUAUUGUAAAUUUUUUAGACUAAGUUCAUGAUAAUUAAGUUCAUCUAAUCAAAUUAUUCAAUGAACUCCCACUUAGAUAGACAUCCCUCCAGUAAUCUAAGUAUAACAUGAUCCGAGUUAACUAGGACGUGUCCGAUCAUCACGUAAGACGGACUAGUCAACAUCGGUGAACAUCUUCAUGUUGAUCGUAUCUUCUAUAUGACUCAUGCUCGACCUUUCGGUCUUCUGUGUUCCGAGGCCAUGUCUGUACAUGCUAGGCUCGUCAAGUCAACCUAAGUGUUUGCAUGUGUAAAUCUGUCUUACACCCGUUGUAUGUGAACGUUGGAAUGAAUCUAACACCCGAUCAUCACGUGGUGCUUCGAAACAACGAACUGUCGCAAUGGUGCACAGUUAGGAGAAACACUUUCUUGAAAUUAUUAUGAGGGAUCAUCUUAUUUACUAUCGUUGUUCUAAGUAAACAAGAUGCAGAAACAUGAUAAACAUCACAUGCAAUCAAAUAGUGACAUGAUAUGGCCAAUAUCACAUAGCUCCUUUGAUCUCCAUCUUGGGGCUCCAUGAUCAUCUUGUCACCAGCAUGACACCAUGAUCUCCAUCAUCAUGAUCUCCAUCACAGUGUCUCCAUGAAGUUGCUCGCCAACUAUUACUUCUACUACUAUGGCUAACACGUUUAGCAAUAAAGUAAAGUAAUUUACAUGGCGUUUCUCAAUGAAACGCAGGUCAUACAAAAAAUAAAGACAACUCCUAUGGCUCCUGCCGGUUGUCAUACUCAUCGACAUGCAAGUCGUGAUUCCUAUUACAAUAGCAUGAGCAUCUCAUACAUCACAUGUAUAUCAUUCAUCAUUCAUCACAACUUUGGCCAUAUCACAUCACAGAACACUUGCUGCAAAAACAAGUUAGACGUCCUCUAAUUGUUGUUGCAAGUUUUACGUGGCUGCAAUAGGGUUCUAGCAAGAACGUUUUCUUACCUACGUGAAAGCCACAACAUGAUUUGUCAACUUCUAUUUACCCUUCAUAAGGACCCUUUUCAUCGAAUCCGCUCCAACUAAAGUGGGAGAGACAGACACCCGCCAGCCACCUUAUGCAACUUGUGCAUGUUAGUCGGUGGAACCGGUCUCACGUAAGCGUACGUGUAAGGUUGGUCCGGGCCGCUUCAUCCCACAAUACCGUUGAAGCAAGAUAAGACUAGUAGCGGCAAGAAAGUUGACAACAUCUACGCCCACAACAAAUUGUGUUCUACUCGUGCAAAGAGAACUACGCAUAGACCUAGCUCAUGAUGCCACUGUUGGGGAACGUUGCAGAAAACAAAAUUUUUCCUACGGUUUCACCAAGAUCCAUCUAGGAGUUCAUCUAGCAACGAGUGAUCGGAUUGCAUCUACGUACAUUGUAGAUCGCGAGCGGAAGCGUUCAAAGAACGGGGAUGAGGGAGUCGUACUCGACGUGAUCCAAAUCACCGGAGAUCCUAGCGCCGAACGGACGGCACCUCCGCGUUCAACAGACGUACGGUCAGCGUAACGUCUCCUUCCUCUUGAUCCAGCAAGGGGCAAGGAGAGGUUGAGGAAGAUGGCUCCAGCAGCAGCACGAUGGCGUGGUGGUGAUGGAGCUGCAGUACUCCGGCAGGGCUUCGCCAAGCUCUAUGGAGGAGGAUGUGUUGGAGAGGGAGAGGGAGGCACCAAAGGCAAAGGUAAGAGGUCCUCCAUCCUCCCCACUAUAUAUAGGGGGGCCUGGGGGGGGGGGCGCCGGCCCUAGGAGAUGCAAUCUCCUAGGGGGGCGGCGGCCAAGGGGUGGGGGACUUGCCCCCAAGCAAGGGGGCGCCCCCCCCUUUAGGGUUUCCCCCACCCUAGGCGCAUGGGCCCUAAGGGAAGUGGCGCCCCAGCCCACUUUGGGCUGGAUCCCUUCCCACUUCAGCCCAUGGGGCNNNNNNNNNNNNNNNNNNNNNNNNNNNNNNNNNNNNNNNNNNNNNNNNNNNNNNNNNNNNNNNNNNNNNNNNNNNNNNNNNNNNNNNNNNNNNNNNNNNNNNNNNNNNNNNNNNNNNNNNNNNNNNNNNNNNNNNNNNNNNNNNNNNNNNNNNNNNNNNNNNNNNNNNNNNNNNNNNNNNNNNNNNNNNNNNNNNNNNNNNNNNNNNNNNNNNNNNNNNNNNNNNNNNNNNNNNNNNNNNNNNNNNNNNNNNNNNNNNNNNNNNNNNNNNNNNNNNNNNNNNNNNNNNNNNNNNNNNNNNNNNNNNNNNNNNNNNNNNNNNNNNNNNNNNNNNNNNNNNNNNNNNNNNNNNNNNNNNNNNNNNNNNNNNNNNNNNNNNNNNNNNNNNNNNNNNNNNNNNNNNNNNNNNNNNNNNNNNNNNNNNNNNNNNNNNNNNNNNNNNNNNNNNNNNNNGGAAGAUGGCUCCAGCAGCAGCACGAUGGCGUGGUGGUGAUGGAGCUGCAGUACUCCGGCAGGGCUUCGCCAAGCUCUAUGGAGGAGGAUGUGUUGGAGAGGGAGAGGGAGGCACCAAAGGCAAAGGUAAGAGGUCCUCCAUCCUCCCCACUAUAUAUAGGGGGGCCUAGGGGGGGGGGCGCCGGCCCUAGGAGAUGCAAUCUCCUAGGGGGGCGGCGGCCAAGGGGUGGGGGACUUGCCCCCAAGCAAGGGGGCGCCCCCCCCUUUAGGGUUUCCCCCACCCUAGGCGCAUGGGCCCUAAGGGAAGUGGCGCCCCAGCCCACUUUGGGCUGGAUCCCUUCCCACUUCAGCCCAUGGGGCCCUCCGGGAUAGGUGGCCCCACCCGGUGGACCCCCGGGACCCUUCCGGUGGUCCCGGUACAAUACCGGUGACCCCGAAACUUGUCCCGAUAGCCGAAAUAGCACUUCCUAUAUAUAAUUCUUUACCUCCGGACCAUUCUGGAACUCCUCGUGAUGUCCGGGAUCUCAUCCGGGACCCCGAACAACAUUCGGGUUACUGCAUAUACAUAUCCCUAUAACCCUAGCGUCACCGAACCUUAAGUGUGUAGACCCUACAGGUUCGGGAGACAUGUAGACAUGACCGAGAUCGCUCUCCGGUCAAUAACCAACAGCGGGAUCUGGAUACCCAUGUUGGCUCCCACAUGCUCCUCGAUGAUCUCAUCGGAUGAACCACGAUGUCGAGGAUUCAAGCAACCCCGUAUACAAUUCCCUUCGUCAGUCGGUAUGUUACUUGCCCGAGAUUCGAUCGUCGGUAUCCCAAUACCUCGUUCAAUCUCGUUACCGGCAAAUCACUUUACUCUUACCGUAAUGCAUGAUCCCGUGACCAGACACUUGGUCACUUUGAGCUCAUUAUGAUGAUGCAUUACCGAGUGGGCCCAGUGAUACCUCUCCGUAAUACGGAGUGACAAAUCCCAGUCUUGAUCCGUGUCAACCCAACAGACACUUUCAGAGAUACCCGUAGUAUACCUUUAUAGUCACCCAGUUACGUUGUGACGUUUGGUACACCCAAAGCACUCCUACGGUAUCCGGGAGUUACACGAUCUCAUGGUCUAAAGGAAAAGAUACUUGACAUUGGAAAACUCUAGCAAACGAACUAUACGAUCUUGUGCUAUGUUUAGGAUUGGGUCUUGUCCAUCACAUCAUUCUCCUAAUGAUGUGAUCUCGUUAUCAAUGACAUCCAAUGUCCAUAGUCAGGAAACCAUGACUAUCUGUUGAUCAACGAGCUAGUCAACUAGAGGCUUACCGGGGACAUGUUGGUGUCUAAGUAUUCACACAUGUAUUAUGAUUUCCGGAUAACACAAUUAUAGCAUGAAUAAAAGACAAUUAUCAUGAACAAGGAAAUAUAAUAAUAAUGCUUUUAUUAUUGCCUCUAGGGCAUAUUUCCAACACUUUCCUCUACGAGGCAUCACCCUUUGUCACUCUUGCCCGCACACCUCCCCUCAAAACGAGAAGGCCGAGCACGGCAUUCGCUCCAUGAACGACAUUAUGCGCACACUCCUCCAAGCUCACAUGCCACCUUCGUUUUGGGUCGACGCCCUCAACACCACCACAUACUUACUGAAUUUCGCCCAUCCCGAGCCAUCGACCACAUCCCACCCUACUACGCCCUCUUUGGUACCUCUCCAGAUUACAGCUCCCUACGCACGUUCGUCUGCCUCUGCUACCAAAACCUCUAUGCCACUAUGCCCUACAAAUUAGCUCCCCGCUCCGUUCGCUGCAUUCUCCUCGGUAUGCCACUUGAGCAUAAAGGCUACAGGUGCCUGGACCUCUCCAAUCGAUGACUCAUUACCUCUAGACAUGUCAUUUUUUGACGAAAACACCUUCCCAUUCAUUGAUGCCCCGAGCGGCCACACGCCUGCACGAGCAGGGUCUGCUCCGGCCGCAGAAAAUCAAGCACCCACCUCCAUCCCCCUCGGAUCACCCACUCCACCAGUCACGCACCACCUCCCAUCCCCAAGCAUGCAGCCCGACCCCACCUCCCAAACCCAUGCAGUGAUUCACCCAUCACCUGCAUGCGGCGCGCCUCCCCUCGUGUCGACUCCACGCCUAGAUGCAGUAGCCCGCCACUUACGCCUCUGCAUGCAGCGCCCCUCACUCUAUGCCGCCCACGCAUGUAGUACGAUCCCACCCUGAGUCGUGCCGAUUUUACCUGCCAAAAACUUGCAUGCCAGGCGCACCUGCGCAAAGUCCAGUUUUCUGCAGCCAAAGAAGCUUCUGACCGUCGCUACCUCUCCCGCCCCCAUCUCUCCUAUUCCCGCAAACUACAAAGAAGCUCUCAAAGACCCCAACUGGUACAAUGUUAUGCUUGAAGAAUUUAACGCUUUGUUGCAAAGCAAAACGUGGUCUUUGGUUGCUUGCUCUGCAGGUGUCAACUUGGUGUCUGGGAAGUGGAUAUUCCGCCACAAGCUUCAUCUCGACGGCUCCCUCGCUCGGUACAAGGCGUGUUGGGUACUUCGUGGCUUCACAAAGCAGCCUGGCAUUGACUACGGGGAGACCUUCAGCCCCGUGUGGUGAAACCGGCCACCAUCCGCGUCAUCCUCAGUGUCGCCAUCAGUAACCGUUGGGCCAUUAACCAGCUGGACAUGAAGAACCCCUUCCUCCACGGCACUCUCGAUGAGCUCGUCUACAGUCAGCCGCCGGCUAGCUUCGUCGACACCGCACACCCCUCGACCAUGUGCAAACUCCAAAAGUCCUUGUAUGACUUAAGCAGGCUCCUCGUGCGUGGUUCCAGCGGUUCACCACAUUCCUUCUCUCGCUCGGCUUCACGGUGUCAAGAUCCGACACAUCCCUAUUUAUUCUCCGCCGUGGCACCUCAGUGGCAUACCUCUUGCUAUAUGUUGACGAUAUCAUUCUCACCGCUAGCUCCUCCGGGUUACUCACCAUCGUUACCGCCGCUCUCACCUCUGAGUUCUCCAUGGCGAACCUCAGCUCGCUCCACCACUUCCUUGGCGUCAAUGUUCAGUGCAGCCCCACUGGUUUGUUUCUUUCCGAGCAACAGUAUGCGCUCGAGAUCCUUGAUCGCGCCUCCAUGCUCAACUGCAAACCCAUCACUACCCCCGUCGACACCAAAGCAAAGCUCGCCACCUCGCCACCUCAGCUAACGACUCUGCUCCUGACCCAUCCCUCUUCCAUAGUCUCGCCGGUGCCCUGCAGUACCUCACGCUCAUGCGCCCGGACAUAGCCUACACCGUCCAGCAGGUGUGCCUCGUCAUGCACUCGCCGCGCAUGCUACACGCCGCCCUCCUCAAAUGUAUCAUGCGUUAUCUGCGUGGUACCACCCACCUUGGCCUUCAUAUUCGUCUGUCUGCUUCAUCCCAGCUCAUGUCUUACACAGACGCCGACUGGGCCGGUUGUCCCGACACCGUACCUGACGCUCGAUGUCUGGCUACUACAUGUACAUCGGUGACAACCUCGUCUCCUGGUCUUCGAAGCGACAAACCACCUUGUCGCGAUCGAGUGCGGAGGCAGAGUACCGAGCUGUCGCCAACGCGGUCACGGAGUCGUGUUGGCUACGAAGCUUCUUCAGGAUAUCGGAUGGCCUCCAUGGUGCUACCACUGUUUACUGAGACAACGUAUCGGUGACUGAAGGAAAUAUGCCCUAGAGGCAAUAAUAAAGUUAUUAUUUAUUUCCUUAUAUCAUGAUAAAUGUUUAUUAUUCAUUCUAGAAUUGUAUUAACGGAAACAUAAUACAUGUGUGAAUACAUAGACAAACAGAGUGUCACUAGUAUGCCUCUACUUGACUAGCUCGUUGAUCAAAGAUGGUUAUGUUUCCUAACCAUAGACAUGAGUUGUCAUUUGAUUAACGGGAUCACAUCAUUAGGAGAAUGAUGUGAUUGACUUGACCCAUUCCGUUAGCAUAGCACUUGAUCGUUUAGUUUGUUGUUAUUGCUUUCUUCAUGACUUAUACAUGUUCCUAUGAUUAUGAGAUUAUGCAACUCCCGUUUACCAGAGGAACACUUUGUGUGCUACCAAACGUCACAACGUAACUGGGUGAUUAUAAAGGUGCUCUACAGGUGUCUCCGAAGGUACUUGUUGGGUUGGCGUAUUUCGAGAUUAGGAUUUGUCACUCCGAUUGUCGGAGAGGUAUCUCUAGGCCCUAUCGGUAAUGCACAUCACUUAAGCCUUGCAAGCAUUGCAACUAAUGAGUUAGUUGCGGGAUGAUGUUUUACGGAACGAGUAAAGAGACUUGCCGGUAACGAGAUUGAACUAGGUAUUGAGAUACCGACGAUCGAAUCUCGGACAAGUAACAUACCGAUGACAAAGGAAAUAACGUAUGUUGUUAUGCGGUCUGACCGAUAAAGAUCUUCGUAGAAUAUGUGGGAGCCAAUAUGAGCAUCCAGGUUCCGCUAUUGGUUAUUGACCGGAGACAUGUCUCGGUCAUGUCUACAUAGUUCUCGAACCUGUAGGGUCCGCACGCUUAAAGUUUCGGUGACGAUUGUAUUAUGAGUUUAUGUGAUUUGAUGUACCGAAGGUAGUUUGGAGUCCCGGAUGAGAUCGGGGACAUGACGAGGAGUCUCAAAAUGGUCGAGACGUAAAGAUCGAUAUAUUGGACGACUAUAUUCGGACAUCGGAAAGGUUCCGAGUGAUUCGGGUAUUUUCGGGAGUACCGGGAGUUACGGGAAUACGAGGAAGAAGUAAUGGGCCUCAUGGACCAAGUGGUGGAAGAGAGGAGGCAGGGCGCGCGGCCCUCCUAGCCCAAACCGAAUUGGACUAGGGGGCCGGCCCCCCUUUCCUCCUUUUCCUCCUUCUCCUUCCUUCUCCUUCUCCUCCUUCCUUUCCUCCUCCUAGUAGGAGUAGGAAAGGGGAGUCCUACUCCUACUAGGAGGAGGACUCCUCCUCCUGGCGCGCCCAUAGAGGGCCGGUCGGCCUCCCCCCUUGCUCCUUUAUAUACAGGGGCAGGGGGGCACCUCUAGACACACAAGUUGAUCUUCGUGAUCGUUCCUUAGCCGUGUGUGGUGCCCCCUUCCACCAUAUUCCACCUCGGUCAUAUCGUAGCGGUGCUUAGGCGAAGCCCUGCGUCAGUAGAACAUCAUCACCGUCAUCACGCCGUCGUGCUGACGAAACUCUCCCUCAACACUCGGCUGGAUCGGAGCUCGAGGGACGUCACCGAGUUGAACGUGUGAGAACUCGGAGGUGCCGUACGUUCGGUACUUGGAUCGGUCGGAUCGGGAAGACGUACGACUACUUCCUCUACGUUGUGUCAACACUUCCGUUGCUGGUCUACGAGGGUACGUAGACGACACUCUCCCCUCUUAUUGCUAUGCAUCACCAUGUUCUUGCGUGUGCGUAGGAAAUUUUUUGAAAUUACUACGUUAUCCAACAAUGACGUACCUCUCCACCAACCCGGUACAACACCAACGCACCAAGCACGUGGAGAUUGAUCUUCAUUUCGUGCGCGACCGCGUUGUCUUCGGAGAUGUUCGUGUUCUGCAUGUUCCGGCAACCUCCCAGUUUGCCGACGUUUUCACCAAGGGGAUACCAACCGGCGUCUUGACAGAGUUCCGGUCCAGCCUCAAUGUCGUCGAAGACCCCGUUGCGGCUGUGGGGGGCUGCUGGAAUUGUAAAACGCCUCCUGCAUGUACAUUACCGGGUCCCUCGGCUGGACAGAUCGGCUCGCGCAAGUAGCAUGGGACACCUGCGUCUGUUACACACGAUCCCCUUCUCCGUUGCUUGUAGCUGCUGUACCUAGGCGUAUAUAUAUAACUCUGUACAAUCUGGAAUAGACACGGUGAAGAUCACCUUUCAACUGUUCGCACUGUGCGGCCAAACCUUGUUUGGCUGGGACUGACAAAUGAAAAUGAUGCACCCGAGCACAUCCAGAAGGAUCUGAACGCUCGCAGUCCAAACCAGCUUAUCGGCAUUGGUACAGAGUUGAGGCAAAACCGAGCAGUGAAGCAAGCUCCAGCAUUUUCAACAUGAAGGAAACGAAAAAGACGAAACAGGCUCCAACAUUCUCGUCAAAAAAGAUAAGAAAAGGAAAAAAGAAACAGGCUCCAGCAUUCUUGACACAAAAGAAAUGAAGAAGGAAAACGAAACAGGCUCAGGCAUUCUUGACACAAAAGAAAAGAAAAAGGAAAAGGAGAAAGGCUCCAAUAUUCUUGACAAAAUAGAGAAGCAAAAGAAAAAGGAAUCAGGCACAAGCAUCCUCGACACAGAAGAAAAGAAAAGGGAAAAGGAAAUUGGAUCCAGCAUUCUCGAUAAAAAGGAAGAGAAACAGGAAACAGGUUCAACCAUUCUCGACAAAAAGGAAAAGAAAAAGAAAACAGGCUCCGACAUUUUGGACAAAAGAGAAAAGAACAAGGAAACGAAAACAGGCUCCAGCAUUGAUCUCGACAAGAAAGAAAAGAAAAAAAUUUGAAAAGCAAGCUCCGUCAGAACGGUAACAGUAGCACCAAUGCUAAAGAAGAGCAAAUUGAACAGUAGCACCAAGGUGAAGGAAGCUCAAGACCGAUGAGAUGUCCUGGUUUCUAUAUAUCCAAUUAAUAUACCAUAUUUUAAUUAUUGUAACAAUAUGAUUGUAUUUUUUGUGAUGUAAUGAGUCGUUUGAUUCGAACCUCUGUUUGUUCAGUUUCUGCUUGCUGCUGUUGUAAUCACAAACCGUCAUGUCAAAUAAAUGGAGUGAAUAGCAAAAAACUACCAUAUUACGGGCUAUCGUUCCGGAAAACUAUCGCUUGUUUUAAUUUUUCAAAAAACUACCACAAAAGUGGCUGGCUGUUCCAAAAAACCCAAGUGGCCGAACGGUUAAGUUUUAACUGGGGUUAUGACAUGUGGGGCCCGCCCGUCAGGGUUUUGUCGGCCACAGUGCUCACGGCGCGCGGGUGACGGCCGUUAGGGCGCACGGCCCGUCCCGACGAGGUCAAAAUGGAUCCGGCCCUCACUCUGUCUCCCUCUCGCUCACUCACUCUCUCCCCCCUCACUCUCACUCUCCCCCCUCGCUCUGUUUCCCCUGGCCGAGCUCUCCAUCGUCGCUGACCACCUCAGUUCCUCGUCGCCGGCCAGGAUGCCUUCUUGGAAUGAUGGGGAUGAGAGCUCCGACGAUAGCAUGGGGGGCAACCUGAUGGACAUGGAGUACUUUGUAAGCCUCAUCGUCCUCCUCUCUGUCAUUAUCUAGGGUUAGGGUUGAAUCGAUUUGGGAAUGAGGGUUGAUGAGCUGUAUAUUUGUAUGCAUGGAUUCAUUUGGUUUGGUUAUCUAUUAGUUUUGAUCUAGGGUAUGGAUGGCACUGUGAUGUCUGAUCUGACCUUGAGCAAGGCAAAGCUUGACUCAAGUUGAACUAGUUGAUGCAUUGGUUCUGAUCUACCUUUUACUGCAUGUAGGACACACCUGACACCAUCCCUGAGCCACUCUGGUGUGGUGCUCCCAUGGAGGAAGUUGCCAAGUGUACUCUGCAUGAUAUGAAGCCUAGGAAGUGUGUUGCUUUUGAAGGUGCUAAGACUGGGAGGAGGUUCUAUGGAUGCCCUGUUCAGGUGAGUAAUUGAGUAUCCUGGGUGGAUUCAGUUAUGCCUAGUGGAUUCAGUUAUUCCUAGUGGUUACUGAAUUUGUACAUUAACUCUAUUUGAACUGAAUUUAGUACUGAAUUUAUGGUUACAUGUCCUCCUUGUGUACCAACCCUCUUUUUGAAUUGAAGUUAGAACUGAAUUUCUGCAUUUUCUGAAGUAUGUGUUCUCUGAUCAAACUACAGGGAGGUGUGAAUUGUGGUGUAGUUCAGUGGGUUGAUCCUGCCUGGCCUGAUGUACUUAAGAACUGCCUCAUCAAGUUGUGGGAAAUGUUCCAUGAGCAAAACCUUGGAAGGUUUCAAGACAAGCAUGCAUAUGAGGAUGAGGUUGCCAAGUUGAAGAAGGACUAUGAUCUGCUCUGCACUGAGUAUCAUAAAAUGGUUGAUGAUGUUAGCAAGAUGUUUGACUGGCAUGAUGGUGUUGGCAAGAUUGACUACCAAAAAGCAAUGGAUGCUGGGAAAUUUGAGAAGCAGAAGGAAGAGCUAGAGCUGGAGAUGAAGAUGGAGAAGCUAAGGCUAGCAAAAGAACAGAGGUGUAUCCUUCAGGCCCAGGCAGACAUAAUUCACAACACCAGGAAGGCAAUGAAAGAGAUAAAGGUGGACAGGGAUCUUUUUGCACAAGAGAAGACAAAGCUUGAGAAAGUAGUUGCUGAUCUGCUAAAUGCUGGCCAUGGGAGCAAGGAAAAGCUUGAGAAAAUCAAGGCCAUACUGGAGGCUUGAAGAUUUGGACAAUGGUGGUUAAGUAAGUAAGGUGGCCUACACAUAUAACAGGCCUUGCAAGAUGAUGGUAGGAGUAUAUUUUGUGCAGUCCUAUAUGAACUAUUUAAGUUAUGGUAACUAGAGUGGUGGAGAACCUUUGCUAAGUCUGGCUUAUGUUAUUGUACUGUUAAGAACCUAUCUAUCUUAAGUAAUGCAGUGAAGAACUGUUUUAUUUCUUUAGGUUGUUUUCCUGAAAGUAGCAAUGCUGAACUAGUAUAUUUUUGGGCCUAAAACCAUUAUGUACACAUUGUGGGCCUAGACUGGGCUGUUUUAUUACUCCACCUACCUACCACCAACCAUUAGUAGUCUAUAAAGCCCACCCCUUGAGUGAAACCGCAGUCAAUCCCCCCAUCCCCACCCUUCUCAACCCCCCAGCCGCCAAAGAAACCCUAGAAUCCAAGGGAGAGAUGGAUCCUGGAGAGGUCAUAGAUGGAGAAGAAGAGGUGCCCAGACAAGCCAGGCGCAGAGAUGCAAGGAGGAGGGCGAGAAGGCAACUUGCUGAGAUGAUCCUUGCAACACGCAACCGCAAGGACAUAAAGCAGUUCCUGGAGGCAUUCCCCCCUGGUUCCAACCCUAGUGAUGAUGAUAUCAUCUACUGGGCAAGGAGGAGGGCAAAUUUCCAUCCCUUUUAGGUCACUAGGCAAAGGUGGACUAGGAUUUUGUACCCAUGAUGCUGCUGUUAUGUUUCUUUGUUCCUAGAUCUGUCUUUCUAUCUAUGUGAUGUUUGAAGUUGGUGUAAGAACAAUGUUGAAUGAGCUAUGUAUGUGACGAAUCAAGUUGUCCAUGAUGCAAUGCAAUGUAUGAAGCUGGUGAAAGAAAAAUGUUGAAUGAUCUAUCUAUGUGAUGAAUCAAUCUGUCUAUGAUGCAAUUUAUGAGUGAAUCUUUUAUCUAUAUUUGUAUGUAUGAAUGAAUUGAUCUGGUGAUCUUGAUGUUUUAAGUUAGAUAUGUUAUGGUUUGUUCAGAUGGCCAUAUCUUGUUGUUUUAGGUUUGAUCUCUUAGGGUUUGGUGCCUAGAUGGGAAAAUCUUGAUGUUUUAGCUUUGAUAUGUUAGGUUUUGGUCCUAGAUAGCCACUUUGGGGUUGGUCAACAAGUAGCCACCCAAAGUGGCCAAAUUUGGGUGGCUUUAGGGUUGGUCGACAAGUUCCACCCCAAAGUGGCCAAAUGUGGCCACUUUGGGGUUGGUCGACAAGUAGCCCCCCAAAGUGACCAAAUUGACCUAAUCAUAUCAAUCAAUUAUCAACAAAAUAAAUCACUUGAUCUACAUAACAAUGCUCAGCAUAAGAAAUAAUUUCAUAUGAAACAAUUCAUAACCUAGGACAUAUCAAAUCAAAAUAAAGCUUGACAACAGAUAACUUAAUUGUUCCAAGCAGUUCAAACACAGACCAUAUAACUUAAUUGUUCCAAGCAGUUCAUACAUAGACCACAUAACUUAAUUGUUCAAAUGAAAAAAAAGUUCACUGCAAAUAACACAGAUAGCAAGCAUGCCUAGCAAGUAGAGUUCAAGGCAUAAAGCAUAGUUGAGUGCAACACAUUCAAUGGUUGCCACUGGCUGUGAAAUACAAAGCAAGUUUGCUUGGGGCCUUCCUCUUCCUCUUAGAACCAACAUCAGCUUGACCUGAUGUUGAUGCUGCCCUUGGAGCAUUGAAACCUCUUGCACUUGACCUGGUGUUCUUUACUGGAGAUGAUGCACUUGACCUGGUGUUGUUGGCUGGUGCUGAAGCAGGUGGUGGGUUCUUUCUCUUUCUUGAUCCACCUGUUGAAACUGCAGUAGAUGUGGUUGCCCUUGUUGUAGCAGAUGUGGUUGACCUUGUUGAAGUUGUUGCUAGUUUCCUGCCCCUAAGUGGUCCUAAAGCUGGAGCUGGACCUGAAGCUGGAGCUGGACUUGAAGCUGGAGCUGGACCUGAUGAUGUGGCCUGGUGGUUGUUUUUCCUUGUCAUAAACUUGGCCUUAAGUCCGUCUCCAUAGAUUGUCCACCUGUGGCCUUGCAGACCACAGUUACUGCAUGUUAUUGUGCCCAUCCUUGAUGUAUCCUUUGGAGCUGGCACCUCAAAUUCACCCUUUCUCCUAGCUGUCUGCUUCUUGCCUUUCUUCUCCCUGAAAACUGGUGGUUCUAUGUCUGGUGUGUUGGUGUUGGGCCAGAAUUCAGGGCCAGGGACAGGGUAGAUGAUGUGCUGGUAUGCAGCCUUAUACAUUGGCUUCUUAAAGAAUGGAUGCACAUAAUCUUCUGGGUGAACUUUUAUCUUCUGCAUUGCAGAUAUUGCAUGGUGGCAAGGUGAUCCAGUCAUGUCCCACCUCCUGCAAGAGCAGCUCCCUACAUCAAGCUUCACACAAUAUGUGUUCUCUCCACUAGUUACUUGCCAGAUGUUGGGACCAGCCAUGUUUGCUUCACAGUAUUUAGCCCACUUCUUGCUCUCCUCAAGCUUCUCCAUGUAAUCUGGGGUUAUUUCCCACCUACAGCUCUCUGUUUUCUCUCUGAUGCCCUGGUACUUAACCAUUAGUUUGGUCCUCAACCCUUCAAACAUGGUCUUAAUUAGUUUUGACCUAACAUCUAGAAUCAUUUUUUUGAAAACCUCACUAAGGUUGUUCACUACCAAGUCAGUCUUGCACACAUGAUCCAUUGCAUAUCUAGCCCAACACUCCUUAGGGAUGCCAUUCAACCACAUGUAGGCUGGUUCACAUGCUGCUUUCAAACCUGCCAUUCCUUCUUUGUGACCAUGUUUAGUGAAGGAAUAGCUAGCUUUGUCAACCCAUUUCUUAAGUUCUUCUGCUCUAAAGCCAGCUGACUGGAAGUUGGCAUAUAUGUGUCUUAGGCAAUAUCUUUGUGGGGAUUGAGGAAAUACUUCAUUAAUUGCUUUAAGAAGGCCCUGUUGUUUGAUUACAUAAGGUAGUAAUGAGAUAACUAUAGCAGCAUUGCUAUGUGCAUAAGAAUAAUACAGAGCCAGAGAAAAUACCUUCUGCCUGUCAGACAUGAUGGUGUAGUUUCCAAACUGGUUGCUGGUGCCAAUGCAGACUCUAAGUUGGUUUAAAAACCAGGUCCAGCUAGGCCCAUCCUCUUUGUCAACCACCCCAAAAGCAAUUGGGAACACAUUGUUGUUCCCAUCUCUCCCAGUUGCUACCAAUAUCUGUUGGCCUGUGGAUAACUUGAUGAAGCAACCAUCAAGUCUUGCAUAAACAGAGAUAGUUAGGGCAAAAUUGAAUAACUUGAUUACAUUUGUAACAUGAUUAAAUCACUGAUUUGUACCUAUGAAAGGCCUACAACCAGCAAGAAAUCCAUCUUUUGAUGCCUGGAGGCAAUAGAACAUGUACUUGAACCUUGGUGUGGGGGCUGGGUUCAAAGGAUCCUCAAAAGUUGUCACUAUGCACCUGCUUCCAGGGUUUGUGUCAAGCACACAUUGUAGGUAGUCCCUCAACCUCAGAUACUGCUUUCUAUGAUCACCUUGCACAACAUCAACAGCCAUCAGUCUUGCCCUAUAUGCCAAACUCCUAGGUACAUGCACCCCAAACUUCUUCUUAGUAUGUUUGAGAACUGUCUCUACAUCAGCCUUUACAUUUGAUCUAACUGUGUCCUCCACAGCUUCUGCAACCCAUUCAGCAGUAACCUUUGUACUCUCUCCACAAGCUCCACAACUAUGAUCCAUGUGGCACUUCUUGAUUGUGAAUGUAUCUUCAUGGGCUACUUUGGAUGCAGUCAUGAAAAAAUCACAUCCAUUCUUCCUCUCUGGGCACCAAACAAUAACCCUUGAUGGUUCAUUCCUAUGGUACUGAAAGUUUCUCAAAGUCCUAACAUGAAAAUUUCUCAAUGCCUUUCUAAACUCAUACACAUUGGUGAAGCAAAGGUCCUUGCACAGCUGCUCAUGUGCAUCAGGUACCUUUGGGUCAUACCAUUUCCUCUCUUUCUUCUUCUUCAAUCUUCUCUUCCUUCCAGAAGGUAGUCUUGGAGUCUCCCCAUCUGAGUCAGAAAUGCCCAUAUCACCAGGGAAGCAAUACUCAUCAGCUUCAAGUACAAAAUCUUGAAACUUUGGGAUCUCUGGCUGACUGUGAGCUCUGGAAGUUGGACCUGGAUUUGCUACUGCUCUUCUCACAGGCUUGAGUUUCUCAGGCCUGCAUUUUUCCACAACUAUUUCCUCUCCACUGUCUGCCUCUUUCUCCUCCUGCCAAAACUCUGAAACAUCACUGUCACCUUCAAACUGUGGUCUGUCUUCUAUAGCAUCUCUUUCUUCUUCAUUUCCAAUAUUUUCUUCACCUCUCUUCCAAGCCUUGUAAGACAUCUUUAUCCCUCUAUAGUCACCCCUAUCAAUCUCAAAGUCUGAGGAUGAUUUGUCAAUAUCAUCAUCCUCUUGACCAGCAGCCUGUCCAUCAUCAUCUCCACCAUUAGCUUCUGAAAUGUUGAAGUUACAGCUUUGCUGUGUGUUCAAAUUAACUUCAAGAGGGUGGACCACUCCAUCUUGUGACAGACUUAACACAAAACCAGGACCCCCCAGUGGGUUGCCUAUUGGAAUUUGUUCUUCACAAACAUUGUGAGCCCUGUUACAUUCAACAUCUCUAUCUUCAUUUGCCUUGGAAACAAUGAUAUUGAGCACUGUGAAAUCUAAGUGGUCUAUCAUUUCUUCAACUGCAUCUUGACUGUCCAAAAGAAAUAAACCUUCCUGUCCAAUCCCUUGUUCUUUUACCCAGUACAUGUAGUCAUCUGACCCAUAGCCUUCAGUCUCAGUAAGUGCUAUCAAGUUCAGAAAUGUGAUGUCUGAAACAGAAAACCUCCUUUCCAUAUUAUCUCUGCCCUGGAAAUGCAGCCUAACAUCCCAAACUUCAUCAUCUAGCCUGCAUUACAUAAUAUGUUAUUUGAAAAGCCCAACUAAGUAAGUGUUUUUGCUACAAAUAUUCAGUGCACACUACUAUAAAGUACAGUAAGGAAUCUGAAUCCAAAAAAUGCUUCUCUGAAUCCACCAUGCAUUUCUACUAAAUCUAACUAAUCCUUCAGUGCUAAGUGAUACUGUUGCAUCCAAAACAUGCCACAGAGUGUUUGCUCAACUAUUAUUCAGUGCAUGUUCAUGUUCUAAGAUGAAUCACAGCAGCAUCAACCUAGGGUUUGGUCAAAAAACUAACUAAAUUAUGCUAUGUUAUUUGAAAUGAACAAGCAGAAAUGCAGAAACUGUUGAAGGAGCUCAUAAGAGGAAAAAAACUUACUCCACCCCUCCAAAUGCAGAGGCCCAGUGCUGGGAGUUGGCCGGAUCUGCCUGCACAGCCCUAUCAAGAGACCUCGCUGCUCUGUACUCAAGCGAGAACUGGCAAUCAUCAGGCGACGGUGGUGUAGCCUGUGUCGUAGGAGCCUGCAUCAGAGCUGCAGCCUGUGGUGUCCGCUGCGGCGGCGGCGGCGCCGCCGGCUAGGUUGCGAAGCUACCACUCCCCAGCCAGUUAUCAACCUCUAAGAACUCGCCGCCUCCAUCCCCCCUUCCACCUCCACCCGUUGAAUGGCCGCCAUCGCCUAGUUUCGCCGCCGCCGCCGCCAUCGGAGAGGGAGGCGCGCACAAGAGAGAGGGAGACAGAGAGGGGGAAGACAGAGUGAGGGCGGGCCGGAUCCAUUUGACUUGGUCGGGACGGCCCGUGUGCCCUAACGGCCGUCACCCGCGCGCCGUGAGCACUGUGGCCGACAAAACCCUGACGGGCGGGCCCCACAUGUCAUAACCCCAGUUAAAACUUAACCGUUCGGCCACUUGGGUUUUUUGGAACAGCCAGCCACUUUUGUGGUAGUUUUUUGAAAAAUUAAAAAAAGCGGUAGUUUUCCGGAACGAUAGCCUGUAAUGUGGUAGUUUUUUGCUAUUUACUCCAAAUAAAUGCUUAAAAAGAGUGCAUCUAAUGGAGUAGUACAAAAUGGUAAAGAAAAUAAAUCAGCCACUAAUGGAGUAACAAAGGUGAUAGCACGGAGUUUGGUAGGCACCGACAAUGAGUAAGCAGGCUGAGGCCACCGGUGCACGAAGAGGAUCAGAAGCGCUGGUUGGGGCUGUGGUUUGGGGCGGCUGCGAUGAAACUUCUUAUUCAACGCUUAUAGCACCGUUUACAGUGUUAUCGGUACCUUUUUUUUGAGGGAAAGAGCCAACUUUAUUAAUCAAAAUCCACAGUGCGUGGGACACAACGAUGGUCAUGGGGCUGGCCAAGCCACACAUGACGCCCUGGUGGUAGCGAUAAAGAAAACCUAGCUAUCUCGUGAGCUUCAGCAUUCUGAGCUCGACUCUCAAAGGUGAAAUUACAUAAAAGUGGUGAUGAGCUCAUCUUUAUCUCUCUGAUUAUAGCUCCAUAAGUGCCAUGACUACCCAUAGCAAUGUCGCCAAUGACUUGUUUGCAGUCCGAAGCCACCACAAAACGUUGCACAUUAAGAUCUUGUGCUAGGGAAAUAGCCUCCCGACAUGCUAUGGCCUCCAGUGUCGCGGGGUCGCAAACUCCGACAAUGACAAGUGAUGAGCUCCCCAUAUAGACACCCUGGCUGUCACUGCAUAUGGCCGCGGCCGUGCCACCCCUCUGAAAUCUUACUGCCACGUCAACAUGAACCUUAGCAUAGCCAGCAGGUGGAGCCUUCAGCCUCUGAGUAGAAGCGUGGCCAGUAGCUGCAGAACGUACGUUGAUCUUUGCAGGGAGUGAGGCAGUAGCCAAAUCAGCCAUGAAGCGAGUUAUAAACUCCUUCGUCGCCCUGGGUGAUUGGAAUAUUGAUUCAUGGAUAGCUUUUCUCCUCGAGGUCCAGAUCGCCCAUAAGGUGACCGCCAGCAGAGUGAACUUCUCAUGUGUUAGCAUAUCCAUUAAUCCAAAGAGCCAGCUCUUCGCCCUCGUCUCCGUUGAUGCGACCAGACUGCAGCCCAAGUCCUCAUCUACCAACGCCCAUAUGCAUCUGGAGACUGUGCACUCCAGGAGGGAAUGACUCCAUGAAUCAGGAGAACCGCAGAGGCCGCACGAGCUAGUCGUUGACAUAUUACGAUGGGCCCUCACAUCCUCCGUCGGUAGUGACUGUUUUGAUAAACGCCAUAGAAACAUGCGUACUUUUGCUGGUACCACAGUUUUCCAGAGGGACUUCCAAGAGGCUUCAUCGACAUGGUUGCUGGAUGAUGCGCCGGAGCCCUCUAGCCACGCCUCUCGCCGUUGCUUCAUAGAUACCAACAUAUUAUAGGCUGACCUGACUGUGAAUUGUCCGGUUCUCUCGUGCAUCCAGCUCCAAAAGUCCUGCAUAGGAGCCGUACACAACGGGAUACCCAUGAUGAUUUUAGCAUCGAAAGGCAAGAAAGUUGCUUCCACCACAGAUCUCUUCCAUGAAGCAUUAGUUGCAUCGAUCAGUUCAGAUACUGUGUUGGGAGGAUUACUUACGCAACAACCAUACGGUCUCAUCAUCUCUGACCGGGGAAGCCAGUUUUCGGUCCAAAUGCUGGUGCUCGCCCCAUCUCCUAUCCGCUUGAUCAGUCCCAAUUUAAGAAUAUCCCGGCCUUCCACUAUGGCUCUCCAUAUCUGACUUGGAUGGUUCCCAAGUGUUGCCUCAAGUAUAGAUGUAUGUGGAAAAUAUACGCUCUUCAGAAUCCGUGCACUCAGAGACUCGGGGUCUUGUAACAUUCUCCAUGCCUGCCUGGCUAACAUGGCAAGAUUGAAAAGCUCAAAAUCUUUGAAUCCAAGGCCUCCCAUGCUUUUUGGUUGUGUCAUUGCUUCCCAAGAGACCCAGUGAGGUUUGCGUUGGCCGUUUGAGCUCCCCCACCAAAAUUUCCUUAUUAGCAUAUUGAGGUGCUCACAUAACCCCCUAGGUAGUUUGAAACAAGACAUGGAAAAUACCGGCACUGACUGGGCAACAGAUUUGACUAGUACCUCUUUUCCUGCCGCCGACAAAGUUCUCUCUAUCCAUCCCUGAAUUUUGCUCCAUAAUCUGUCCUUCAAAUAUUUGAAGGCACCGUUUUUUGAACUCCCUAUAUCAGAUGGCAUGCCCAGAUACUUCUCAUUCAAGGUUUCCUUGGGGACAUUGAACAUACCUUUUAUAGCAUUGCGAGUUUCCUCAGAAACGCCUUUACUAAAGAAAAUUGAGGAUUUGUUGUAGUUGAUUCUUUGACCUGAAGCUUGGCUAUAAAUUUCCAACAACUGGUUAACCUCUGUAGCACCCGCACUGUUGGCCUUGAAGAACAGCAGGCUGUCAUCAGCGAAUAGAAGAUGGUUAACUAGUGGUGCCUGCAGCGCCACCUGAAUCCCACCCAAGUUUGAUGACUCACUUUGUGAUUUGAAAAGGCACGACAUGCCCUCUGCUGCUAACAAGAACAAGUACGGUGAUAUUGGGUCACCUUGUCGGAUUCCACGUGAUGGGUUGAACUCCUCAAGUUUCUUUCCAUUGAACAUGACUGCGAAUUUUACUGAGGUAACCAUGCCCAUUACAAUAUCCACCCACCUUCUGUUAAAACCCAAUAUAAUCAUGAUGGCUUAGAGAUAAGCCCAUUCAACUCGAUCAUACGCCUUCAUCAUAUCCAAUUUCAGAGCACAUGAGUGAUUUUUCUUUUCCUUGUUCCUCUUCAUGAAAUGCAAUCACUCAUAUGCCGUUAUUAUGUUGUCUGUGAUCAAUCUCCCCGGAACAAAGGCUGAUUGUUCAGCAGAAAUUAUAUCUGGCAGUAUCUGUUUGAGUCUGUUGGAGAUUACCUUGGACGCUAUUUUAUAGAGCACGUUACAUAAACUUAUGGGCCGAAACUGGGCAAGGAGUGUGGGGUUUUUGACCUUGGGGAUGAGAACCAGCACCGUAUUGUUAAUGCAUGCUGCUGACUCUGUCCCGUCCACAAUUUUGAGUACCACUUUCGUUACAUCUGCACCGCAUACAUCCCAGUGGCGCUGAAAGAAGUGAGCGGGGAAUCCAUCCGGGCCAGGGGCUUUGAUUGGAAACAUUUGGAACAACACACUUUUCACUUCAUCGUGUGUGUAAGGAGCAUUCAGACGAUCGUUCAUUGCCUGCGUUACUUUAGUAGAUACUGACUCCAGUACCCUAUCCAUGCCCUGUACUCCCUCGGUUGUGUAUAAGUUUUUGUAAAAUUCGGUGGUAAGCUCCUCCAUCUCCUCCCUGUCCUCGGUCAGCUAUCCAUCCGAUCGCUGCAACAAUUUUAUCUGGUUCUUCCGGCGGCGGCGGCUCGCUCGCAGGUGAAAAGAAUAAGUGUUUUUGUCACCAUGGACCAGCCAAUCCAGUCGAGCGCGUUGGCGCCACAUCAAUUCCUCUCUAUCAAACAGUUCGACCAGUCUGUCAGCUAUCUUGGUUUCAGUGUUUGUCGGUCCCGUCCGUCCUGGCGCUGAACGCAUGACCUCAAGCUGGCGUUGGAGUUGGCGAAUCUCCAUACGCACCGAUCCGAAGUUGUUGCGGUCCCACGCUGACAAAUCUCCCGCCAGGUUCCCUAGUUUUGCAUGUAUGCCCUCAACCGAUUCUCCAUCCUGCAGACUCCAGCUAUCACGCACAGUGUCAAACAGUGUUUCGUCCCUUUCCCACAUCGUCUCAUAUUUAAAAGCCUUGUGGCCCAUUUUGCAUGCAUGCAACUCACGUAGCUGAAGAAGAAUAGGAAUGUGAUCUGAACUAGCAGCACUUUUGUGCGAUAGCUGUGAUGAUGCGAGGGCGAGAGUCCAUUCUGUAUUUACCAGGCACCUGUCCAGCCUAACCUGGGUGUAGGUGCCUCCUGUGACCCUUUUUUCAAAUGUCCAACUAGUGCCAGAGUAUCCAAUAUCUGAUAACCCACAUGUAUCAACUGCUUCCCUGAAUGCUUCUAUUUGGGCUUGGCUUCGUUGUCCCACACCAUCAUGUUCAUGGCUGUGAAGAACCUCAUUAAAAUCUUCCAUGACUGCCCACGGUCUGUUCUGCGUCUCAGCAAUACCGCGCAGGGUGUCCCAUGUUUUGUAUCUCUCUGGUACCUGGGCUUCGCCAUAGACAAAGGUAAUUCUUACCUGCAAAUCAACUAAGUCAUCAACAAGAAUAUCAAUGUGAUACUUUGAGUAAUCGAUAACUUCCACUUUUAUUUCAUCGUUCCAAAAAAUUCCAAGUCCACCACUUCUACCGGAACUACUAACUGCAAAGCUUUUAUUGUAGCCUAUGCUAUCAGCCAUACUCUCAACCCUCUUUCCCUCUAUUUGAGUUUCAAGAAUACAAACAAUAGAGGGGGCAAACUGCCUCGCUAGAUCGUGAAGCUCUCUAACUGUCGCGGCUUUGCCAAUCCCGCGAAAGUUCCAGCAAAGAAGACUCAUUGCGCUAGGCGCGGCCCCGCUUCGGAGCCCGCCACAUGCGCAUCAGGGUUUUUGGUAGAAACUGUGCUCUUCUCCAGAGCUGACUCAUUAGACGAGGUUGACUUCAAUCUUUUCAGAUCCUGCUUGGGAGGAGGGCUAAGGGGCACCGCAGGUGAUGGCAGAAACAGUUGCUUCGUCUGUUGUACCGAAUAGGUUGGGAACGUGGUUUUUGGAUCAUGUGCCCCUCUCUUCCUGUUGCGAUCAACCUCAGUCAUUGCUACAUCUCCGUCUCGCUGAUCACGUUCCUGGUGAUGUUGAUCAUCAAACGAGUCUGCACUAUUGGGCGAUCGUCCUCUUCCUCUUCCCCCACGGCCUCUGCCGCGACCUCUCCCUGCAUUGCUGCUCUCGCCUUGAUAUCUUUGAAGACCAGAGUCUUUGGGGCAUGAACCCCGUCCCCGCACUCUUUGUGUUGGUGACCUAGAUGUCCACAAACUGCACACCAGUCCGGCAGUCUUUCAUAUUUGACUCUAAAGAUGACUCGUUCCACCGAAUCCUUUUUCCUUAUUACCAGUGAAACAACGUUCUUCAAAGGUUUAGUGACAUCGAUCCUGACUCAAACUCUAGCAAAGUUACCUUCAAAAUCCGGGGAUCUAGGCUCUGCAUAUAUGAAUUCUCCCAUAGUAGCAGACAUAGCUUUGACCUUAGAAAAGAAGCCAUCGGGCAGGUCGUGAAUCUGGAUCCAAAUUUCCAAUUUGUUGAGCUCUAUAGACGACGGCUUUGUGAAGCCAUCAUACUCUGCCAGAACUACUGCUUUCCCCUUGAAAUUCCAGGGGCCAUCUCCCAUAACCCUCUCCCAGUCACCCAGGCACGAGAAUUGCAUUGAGUACAGAUUAUCUUCCAGUGGUCUGAUCUUUACCUCUUGAGCUAGGUCCCAGGCCACUCUCAUAUUCCUAUAAAACCAAUAUUGGCUGUAUGUUUUCUCCGUGUGAACCCUAGCCAACGCCAUCCAGCGUGUUUCUUCCUUCGGCAGCUCGGUGUCUUCCACCACAACAUCAAUCAGAUCAUCUUCUUUCAGUCCAAGUUCCUCCAUCAUCGCAGCCAGAUUGGACGCAGUUGUACUUGAUCCAGAUGCAGUCGAACUCAUCAUGCGCUCGCUCGAGGUUAGGGUUCCGCGAGCGGUAGGUCCCAAGGAGUCACCACCCGCCCAGAACGCCGCGGCGGCCGAAGGCCACAGCGAUCGCCGGAAGGGGGUUAACAUCCGGGGAGGAAAAGUCCCUACGGUGUCGGCGUCGCCGUCGCUCGAGGGAAGAGAAAAACCCUAACGAGAGGGGAAACUUAGGAGGGAGAUUAGUGUUAUCGGUACCUGCCGCCCACACUACUUUAGAUAGCUAAUUGUAACUGGGCUGGCCCAUAUGUGUGAGCCCUCCUCCAUUACCGGUUGUGAAGGAAUUUCCUAUUCAACGCUUAUACCAUUUGUUAUAGUGUUUUCCUUUUGUUACAGUGUUAUCCGGGGACCUCCUACUUGGUCACCUGCGCGCAAAGUAGGAGGGAACGUGCACCCUUGGCUCCCAUGUAAGAGUUUUUCCCGCCCUAUUUUUAUUAUUUCAUUUUUAUGCCUUUUGUUUUUUCAUUUCUGUUUGUGUUUUUCUUCUUUAAAUAAUGUGUGGUUAAAAAAAUUCCCAAUUUCAAAACAAUACCAAAAUUGUUUGACAAAUCAGGAAAUAUUUGUGAAUUAAAAAUUGUUGAUGACUCUUCACUUCAGUGUCUCGACCCACCGGAACAAAAGCCGUGUGUACAAAUUGUGUUCGAAGCUUAUCGUAAACUGGCUUAGCAAGUGUAGUCUUGCCAAGUCUGCCUGGUCCAACAAUUGAGACCAUCUUCAUCUUGUGCUGCUGUUGCUUGAGACCAUGUGUGAGCCUCUUGGUUAGCUUGUUCCAUGCAUCUUCAAUGCCAACGAGCUCUUUCUGAUCAUUGUACAAAGCCAAUACACGAGGGUCAACCUUCUGUUUGCUAGCUGGAUUAGGAACAUCAUUGACCCUGUAUCUGGCACGCCGGCCAGCCAUCUCUUGAGAGCGGUUCUUGAUGUACCUGAUUGCAUCUCCGAUCUGAUGGCGAGUCUUGCCUUUUGUGAACAAGUUGGCCAUCUUCCCUACCUAUCAUUUGAUCAUGUUUGAGUUGGGGACGGCAUCAGAUUCAUAUCCCUCGACGGACACUAGGAAGUUAUCGAUGACAUCCUCCAUGUCAUACGACAGCUCCCUUUUAGGGAUUCAUGUCCCUUGGAAUCUCCGCCACCUUUACGAGGGCAGCGUUCAAGCUCUUCAUGUCCCUCUGGAGGGACUCGACGUACCGAAUAAAUGGGAGUUAGAGGACAGGAAUCUGUUGUAGGAAAGACAAAGGAAAUUGUUCUCCAUCGCCGUCCGGUUCCACUGGGAAAAAAUUACAUCCACUGCAACACCAAGACCGCAUGCUUACCGAGUAGUAGUAGAAGCAGCAGAGCUGAGUAAGGCACCCACUACCGAAUGCAGGGAUAAAUCCAGCACCAAGUAAGCAGCUCACAAGUGAGAGACGGCAUGCGCUUUGCGAACGGAAGGACAGGAGCAGAAAACAUUUUGGGAGAAAGAUCGACGUGGCUCAGAAAAUUGAAGGCGGUCUACUCCUCCUGAUUGAAGCCGGCGACUACACAAGCGCCAUGGUUUGAUGGAGCAAGAGAAAUGGUGUUGAACCCCCAACUCGUUCCAUUUCUAGCAGAAAAGUAGGGCAAUAAUUGAGUGGUGGUAUGUUAUUAGUGCUGGUAAUGGAGUAGGAAGCACCCUAGAAGUGCACCAACUAGUACAUCAAAAUACUCCUGCCAGUGGCGGUGGUAGAUCAUUCAUGUGUACUACUCGAUCGUAACAAGAACAAUUACAUGAACCAGCUUGUGCCACUAGUAAUAAUAUUUAGCUUAUUUUUACAUUAAGUUUUGCAAUGAAUAAUAUUUAGGUUAUUAAAAAGACUAUAGUUUAAUGGAUGGCCCAGAUUUGGAAAUAUUACUGCAGAUUUUUGGUAGUAAUAGACUUGCUUCACUUGUCGAUUUAUAUGAUCUGUCGCUUUCAGCGACGUUUGGGGCUGUGAUUUGGGUUUGUUGUCAUUGAAAUUGCACAACUAUAGAAACUGGAUUCUUUUUUAUUAUUAUAGUGAGCACAAGGAAUCAUGUUACUAGUUGAAUUCAUAGAAAAAGACUCCAUUCAGACUCUGUCCUGCUCCAUGAAAAUAUCCUAUCAGAUAGACGCAGAGCGGUACAUAUACAGACUCAGGUUUCUUGAAAUCUAAUGCAACCAAGUCUUGUACAAUGGUCACAUGUUAUGUGACCUGAACCAAUUAUGGGUUUGCACUUGAUAAUUCCCGCACGAACCACAUGUAAACAUGGUUCGAAGGCUUGAAUAACAAUGUAAAAUUGAUGUCAAGUUUUCCCGACUUGAUUCCUGUCUAGGUUGGAGUCAUCAGUCUACUUGAAGCACUCGUUUUUCUCAUCUACGUUGGAGGACUGAUUGGAGCAUGAAUUAGUUGAGGAGAUAGAAACCCAUUUUUGGCGAGGGAGAGGACAGAAACCCAUGACACAACAAGGUUUUCAUGAUCAUCAUUGGCUAACUUCAAAGUUCCAACAGAGUGCCAACUACCAAGUGAGUAGCAGUACAAGGCACUGUUCAGCUGAAUCAAUCUUUACAACAUUAACCUAUCAUUCACUGGCGUUUCAUACCCAGAAUUGACUCUUAUAACAGUACAGAAGCAAACCCCUACUUCGAGUCAGUGUUGCUCUGUACUUUUUUUAACGGAGGUUAUAACUACGGCCUCUUUAUUUAUUAUUCAGCGGCCAUCUUUAUUUAUUAUUCCACCAAAGUCUAACAAAAACAUACAUCAAGCUACUCGAAGACAUCACUCACACCUACAAAACUCGAAAAUGUAGAGUGCUCUCACACUCCUCAUAUCUAAACCGGUAUCGUCGCUGAUCCAUCCACAUAACGUGUCGGAACGAACAGCCAGUGCAGCAGACCUAAAGCGCACACCACAUGCACAUGUUUUAGACGCCGCCAUCAUCUGCAGACCGCUGACCCAUCUUCAGGAGAGAGAUCCACAUCAUCCUUGCCAGUCCGUCCAUCCAGUCCCUCCCUCCUCUCGGCCUCCCUAUUAUCCCUCCUCACCCUCUGCUGCUGAUCUGUGGCGGCCUCUCCAAUAGCUCUGUGGCCUUCUUUCGCUGCCGCACCGGCCCGAGCGUUGUCGCUUGCAAGCCGUCCGGAGGCCACAAUGGCGCUCUCCCGUCGGGACUUUGCCACAUUCCAGCAUAUCAGUUGCUCUGUCAUGGGGAUCUGUCCUGCUCCUAGCCGUGUCUCCCGCGAUGGUGGUAGACCUGACUUGUACUACAAUGUUCUUUGGUCGCACGGCUGGCCACGGCGGUUUGCUCCGUUCCUUUGUAUCUAUGUUGCAGCUUCAAUUGUGUUAUGCAUGUCAUGGAUGUAUUAUAAUUCUGGGAUGCAUGUAAUUGUAUUGCUAUGAAUCUUAAAAUUGCUAGGUGUUCCAUGAACCAAUGAAUAUGCUAGAAAAUAUUACUCUGUCAUAUAUAUGUUAGAAAAUGUUCUCGUCGGGCCGGGUUUCUCUGCCCUAGAGAACAUAUUCUACAUGUUAUAUGCGACAAUGUAGUGAUGAAUAUUUCACCGGAAAUAGUGUAAAUGCAACCAACUCCCCCAUUAGGAGACAGAGUGGAAUAUUGUUUGACGAUAGACUUGGUUUAUGCAUAUUCGACGCACGUUUGAAUUUUUUCUCCCGAGCCACAAGAAAGCUCCUCGCGCGACCGCGUCCGUCCCUCAUGGGCGGCCGGCCGCGCUGUCCAUCCCUCCUUCCCAGCGCUCUCCCCCACCCUCUCUCUCCCCACCGUUGCCGGGGUGCAUCCCCGGGCUCGGCUCGGGCGGCGCCGGCGGUGCGGCCCACGGCUUUCCCCCCUGCGGCAGAUCCUGUGCGGGGCGGCGCUGCUUAAGGAGGUGCUCUCAGGUGGCGAUGGUUCGGCGCUGCGGUGGGCUGGUUCGCCGCUGACUUCGGUGGUCAGAGGCGGAGGAGCUCCGCGGCGGCGCGGGCUGGUGGCGCCCGUUCGGCCCAGAUCUGGGCCGAGGCGGGCCGGCAGCUCCGAUUUGUGGUGUAUCUUCCUGGAAGCGGCGGUGGGGUGUCUGGAUCCUGGGUGGUGGCGGCAUCGUUGCCGGAUUGUGCAGCGUGGCGGUGGAGUCUUUGCGGGAUCGAUCUGAGCCCGGCUAGGCCCGGGUGGCCUGGUUUGCCUCCCGCCUCGGCGUCCGGCUGGCUACCGCGAUGGCGUUGGAGGAACUGGCCUCUGGCGCGGCGUCGGUGGAGGUUGUCCCCUCCCGCUUGGCUGCGGUGCUGCCACCCCCGGCUCCAUGCGUUCUCAUUUUCCGUCCUCUAGGCCUCGCGGUGGUGGCCUUAGUGAGACGGCGUGGGUGGCCUCAAGACCGCGGUGGCGAAGGAGGGUGGGUGGCGUGUUGGGUGGAAGACUCCGGAGCGAUUGGGUAGUGUGCACAAGUGUUAGAAUCCUAAAAGGUAAAUAGUUUCUUAAGAUCUGAAGCAAGUGUUGGAAGAUUCUGCUGCCUCUAGAUACACAACAAAUGUCCACAUGUUGCUUCUUGGAGAAGCCGAGAGAGCCUUGAGCGGAGUGUUUAACCUUAUGUAUGAUAUUCUUAACUACCAUUUGUAUUAAAUGAACCAAUAAACAUUUUAUGUUAAUUGUCUUGACAAAUUUUGCUGUGUGCAGACUUACAUAUUAGUGGCACUACACAAAAAAAGAUGGCUAAGGGGUUUAUGAAGUAGGAUAGAGAUUGGUGAGAAAAUAUGUGCCCUCUCUCUCGUUUGUAAAGAGGUUCAAAUGUUAUGUGUGUAGCUUUUGCUAGUAUUCUCGAAUCGUUGGCCGUGAAUUGUCAAUUGUGUAAAUGUACAUGUGAAUUGUCUUAUGAAAAACAAUGUGCAACUGAGUGAUUAUGCCUGUGUAUUGUGUUCAUGUCUUUCUGUAAAUUUCGUUUGCAUUGCUGGUAACAUACUGAAAUGAAGUGCAUGCAUGCAAUGGUGAAAUGAAUCGGUACGAUCGACUGGCUGGCGGUCCAAACUAGUACACUAUCACUGACCGGUUAGAUUGCGGGUCUAUGAUGAGCAAGUCAUCACAAACCCUGAUCCACUGACAGACCAGCAACUAGUUAGUGAUGAUGAAAUUUGGCCGGUAAGUGUUAUUCGGAUUUGUAGUANNNNNNNNNNNNNNNNNNNNNNNNNNNNNNNNNNNNNNNNNNNNNNNNNNNNNNNNNNNNNNNNNNNNNNNNNNNNNNNNNNNNNNNNNNNNNNNNNNNNNNNNNNNNNNNNNNNNNNNNNNNNNNNNNNNNNNNNNNNNNNNNNNNNNNNNNNNNNNNNNNNNNNNNNNNNNNNNNNNNNNNNNNNNNNNNNNNNNNNNNNNNNNNNNNNNNNNNNNNNNNNNNNNNNNNNNNNNNNNNNNNNNNNNNNNNNNNNNNNNNNNNNNNNNNNNNNNNNNNNNNNNNNNNNNNNNNNNNNNNNNNNNNNNNNNNNNNNNNNNNCUCGGGUUUCUGCCCCUUUAUGAUAUAUGAGAAAACUGAACGAUUCAGGUGAAACUAGUCAUGAUAAUAAUUAGCAAUUCUAGUAUUUUAACACACAUAUCCCAAUCACUAUAGUUUUUUCAAACGACUAUUUUAACAACGCAUCUACGAUUCAUAGUAAAAUGUGACAUUGUAUACUGUAAAAUUUCUACAAUCUACAAGGUCAAAUUUAUUGUAAAUGUGACCACAACACCAGAUACACUAGAAAUAAAGUAAAACCCUAAAAGUCCCAUGCUAGCUAGACUACUCUUGGUUGGCUAGAAAUUAGGAGGGAGUACCCAGAUGCCAGUUUGAGCACGAGCUGCUACAUAAGAUCCCGCUGAUUUGAUCCUCUGUGUGACAUUGUCGCUACUUUCAUCUUGCAUAGGAUAUACACGGUUACCAUUGCCAUCAAAACUUGCCAAGUAUGUCAUAUCAUCAGCGUAGAUGUGGUUUCUCUGCACCCUGUCGCGCCCAACCACCGGCACGUCAACCGCCCUGGACAUUUUCCCCAAAAAUAAGGCGGAGUCACCCAAGGUCCUUACUUCCUCCCACUUACGAGCAUACUUUGUCAUCGAGUCAUCAUCCAACACAUAAACCUUGAAGAAAGGCUCAGGGCCGGUGUGGUAUGAUGGGAAUUUCCCCAGUACCAUCGCUAGCUUCCCUUGCAGCUCAACAAUGUGAGUCGACCAUGUGAAAGGUUCACUAACAAUCUUGAUAUGCAACUCGGCGUCAAUGGCGAGCAGAGGCCUGCCAUAUUUGUUCGCGCCUAUGUUGAAUUUGAUCAGGUCAUUGGAGAAUAUUAUAUUAAUGUCAAUUUAAUAUUAUACUAUGUGUCGUCAAUUUAAAAGGCUCCUGCCGUCAUGCCUUUGAGUAUUAUAUUAAUGUCAAAUUGUUUAAAUGCUAGUAAUUAGUUAACUUAGAAGCAAACUGUUUAUUGAUAAAAUGCUAUAGUAUAAUUAAGGGAGUUUUUUUUUUGAAAAAUAAUAAUGUUAGAUAUAUGCUGAUGCAACAAGGGCAUGAUUUUAUUUGUUAGCAAUACUAAUAAAAAAGUUCAUAGAAAAUAAUUUUAUACUCCCGAGGGUUAUACACAUAGUUUAAUUUGUUAAUUGUUAAAAAGUUAGCUAUACAACUAGCUAUAUAUUUGUAAAUACUAAUUAGUAGUGUAAAAAAGCAGGAACGAGCACCCGCCUAUGAUACCUUGAUUUACCAACACAAAACGUGCAUCUUGUGUGUAUGAUUGUGAAAUGCACGUUGUGUGUGGAGUUUGACAUCUAAUUUUUAACCCGCUGUUGGUCUUUCAUAUAGAGGAAUGUCUCGCUGUGCUUCCACGAGUCCCUGUAGUUCGCUACGGCUCAGAAACACAGUGUUCGGACGUCAGAUACACUAAAGUUGCACUAUGACAACCAUUGUACAAUCCAGCCCGCCUCAGUUAUAUUAAUAAAAAUAUCGAUCCGAGAACUUUAUCAUGUAUCUGGUUGCGACAGACGCAUAUACGUUCGAGAAAAAGGAGAUAAAUGGUCCUGCGAAGGUAAGGUGGCAGCUAUCGGUGUUCUAGUACACAAGACAACCGAACGCUACACACAGUACUACAAGUCAGUAAUAAAUAGAGUCUGGCGACUACUAGGCUGGCAUGACAGUGCUGUCGAGCGACUCGCCGAUGUGUAUGGCAAUGUGGAAAAUGCAUCCCAUUACUUCUCAUCUCCGCUCCUCUUUGCUCGGUUUGUCCAAGAAGCGGAACACACCACUCAUGUCGGCCUACAUGGCAUAACAUGCUCGUGGAGAAACUAUGNNNNNNNNNNNNNNNNNNNNNNNNNNNNNNNNNNNNNNNNNNNNNNNNNNNNNNNNNNNNNNNNNNNNNNNNNNNNNNNNNNNNNNNNNNNNNNNNNNNNNNNNNNNNNNNNNNNNNNNNNNNNNNNNNNNNNNNNNNNNNNNNNNNNNNNNNNNNNNNNNNNNNNNNNNNNNNNNNNNNNNNNNNNNNNNNNNNNNNNNNNNNNNNNNNNNNNNNNNNNNNNNNNNNNNNNNNNNNNNNNNNNNNNNNNNNNNNNNAAGACGAUGAAAAUUGAGUAAACACAAAAGUAAAGUAGCCGGUCUCAUUAUCAUUAGAAGACGAUGGCAACUACUGCAUGCACCCAUACAUUCUUGGAUCGCUAUAUUUGGCUUAUUCGGUCACAAACCGACGACUUUGCAGCUGCUACAUAAACAACGCUACUCUGGAUCUUAGGGAAAAAUGUUUGGAGACGGAUAUUGAUAAAGGAAACCGAGGAGAGUUGGUGAUGUGAGUCUACUCCAUCGUGCAUGCUACCUACAUGGACAAGCACAUCCGACCUGGCACAGCCUCGAGUUUCAUUAUCCCCUCUUGAUCCCUCUGAUGUUUCCUCUUUCUCUUCAUCAUCAUCUUCACAUCCCUCAAUGUGCACGUUUUUGUGCCUCGAUUUGAUUGGUUCAACUACUUGCUGGCUAUCCUCAGAGUGGUCAAUUUUUUUGGUGUUCGCGAGGAGUCACCAGUACAAGCAUGGUACUGAUAUGUCAUACAUGACCGUGGCAUUUGUACUUGUAGUUUCCUUUCAUUUUUCAUUUUCCUUUUUAAACGCAUACUGUACUUUCUUUACUACACGAUAAUUAAUAUACACUGCACAUUUUUGUAGUAUACGUCAAACAAAUUUUUUAAUUGUAUGAAAACAUAUUUUAUAUUCACACUAUUUUAAAAAAAUAUAGUGAAUAUUUCUAAAUACAUCUAUAAUUUUUUAAUACACAAUGGACAAUUUUUUCAUGUACACAUAACACUUUUUAGUAUAUGAGGAACAUUUGAAAUAUACGGCGAACAUUUUCUAUAUACCCACUAAUAUUUUUAUAAAUGCUGAACAUUUUAAAAGUACACGUUCAUUUUUGUGUUUUCACAAACCAUAGAAAACCAAGAAACUGAAGUAAAAUGAAUAAACGAAAAAAAACAGUACCGGACAGCUCCGUCGCUGCAAAAAUAGGUCUGCACGUCUUAGUGGGCCUACCCAUUCAGAGUCACCUAUGCGUAUCCUCAACUUUUUCGACAACGGGUGCCUUUUAUUUACUUAUAAUGUUGCAUCGAGGGAUACAAUCAUAACAAGCACACACCCAAACUAUGUAUAACUAGCAUACACACUGCGAACACACAUAAAAAAUCACACUGGCAAAUAACAAAGUCAAAUAAGACAAGAACUAUGGCUAGACACAUACAGAAAACGAAGGAAAGAAGAAGAAAUCCCGAGGCGACCAAAAGAGCAUACGUGAGUGAUCAUAUGUGCCAACCAUCUGAACUACUGCGUCAACUAGGAGGUCUCGCUUCUAAGGCCAUCAAUAAUAUUAACGAUGGUUCCAUAUAAAAAAAGAAUAUUAACGGUGGUAGCAGGUGCGAGAUCUUAAAUUAUCAUUUUUUAAGGCCGCUCCAUCGUUUUUGUUCUGCACAAGUGGCUCCCCUAGCCGUAACCCCACCCACUGGUUAUGUAGUUCUUUAAGAGAAAAUCGAUGACACAUGCAAGCAACAAUUUUGUAUCUUCUGUCAUUUGUUUAUACUAUGCCAUCACGAGGAGAUUGCACUUAAAAAGACAAAUUGCAUAUAGGAUAGUUAAAAAAGGGUUGUUUUCUGUCGUGGAAAGGUUGAUUCUAGUAUGAGUAUUCUCUUGGUAUCCGUUCCUUCAUGGAGAAGAGAAGGUGAUUUUCUCUCGCCGCCCCGUCAAUUGAAAUUAUACAUGUUCAAUGAUGACAUGAAGGUUAAUUUCACACCACUCAUUCAUUGUGCUUGCCUUGAGUUCCCUUCAAGGAUAUACCGUGGCAUUCCCGCCUCAAAGAGCUUUUUCAAACCCCUUUCUCAAGAUGCACAACUCAGUCAUUGUUAUCUUGUGUAGACGGGUUCAUCCAACAGGGUAUAAGAUAACACGAUGGACUGAACUGAAGAGAAAAGAAAAAAAAAAUCAUCUACUAAGCCUUAAGCAUUAAACAAGCUUGGAGUGUUGGUCAGCGUGCGACAUCAUUCAAGAAUUUUGUGGACCUACGCUGACCCAAUGAACUUGUGCCCUAUCCCUUGAAGAAAUAUCUCAUCAAUUAUGAAUAAAAAUGUUUGAAGCAUAGAAGUACUCAUGUUUUGACAACAAUACGACCCAUUGUCAUAAACUCAUAAUAUCCCCAAUUUUUACUCAUGAAAAUCAUGUUUGCAUCCCUUUUUGACUCGUUACAUUGCAAUUGUGUCCCAAUUAGAUAACAAUAACACUAAUGAUUGAGCUUGCCAUUGGUAUUCAGUUAUGUGUACACACACAUCACCUUAUGGGUAUUUCACACGAGAAGAAAAUUAGAGGCGAUUUAUUUGCAACUAACAGGCGCUUGCCGCCUCCCAUUGGCUCGCUGCUUGCCAACAAGCAUUCGAUUCCAUUCAACUGAAUUUAAGAAAAAUGGUCAGCAUGUUGGCGCUGUACUGUGUUGGGUUCGUUGAUUGCAUCCAUAUAUAUAAGCAGUCCAUUCCAUUCAACUCAAUUCAUCAACUGCAUCCAUAAUAAAUAUCAAAAAUUCCCCAUGGCACACAACGUGAUUUGCUUGCUUCUUGAUCGGAUUAUCAAACACCGGAGGGGUGUCUUCCUGUGUGAGGGUGGCCGAAACAAACUCGGCAAUUGCAGACGCUCUGAACUCGCCAUCUGCAAUACACACAGUACAUUGUUAGCCAAUUUAACAGUCAAACCAACUCGGUACAUAGAAAUGGAAAGGAGAAGCUAAAACAAGUUUACCAUAUACUGUUAACUUCGCCUCUUUUUUCUUGAGCAGGACUAGUGAUGGGCGCUUUGCUUGCGGGUCAACAUGGAAAAGCUUGGCUAUAUCAGGACUGGUAGUCUGGUAGAUGUUGACAGCCCGGUACAAGCUGUUGAAAUCUUCCAGCCUUGAGGCAGCAGCAAGCUCUUCGGUGUGAGCACCCUAUAGCAUUUGUUGAUAAGAGUAAUCAAUUUUGGGCCACAUGUGCGGUGCAAUUGCAGCAAUUCGGUUGGAUGGUAGACUUUGCUGGGAUUGGAACGUACCGAAAGGGAGUCGAGGAAAGCUAGCACGGCUACUUUGCCGCCGGUGAUGAUCUUCUCGGCCUCGUCGAUGGUGGUGACGUUCUGCACCUCAGGGCCCAGCCUCUGGGAUAUCCAAGUGACCAUGGCGUCCCUGCAGCAGUGGAAAAUUCGCCACCAUGAGGGAUGAAAUAUAAGACCGUUUAGAUCACCAAAGUAAUCUAAACCACGAACAAAAAAUAAGAACAAAAAAUUUGAAUGGAACAUUUCCUGAAAUUCACAAACAUUUCUUAAAAACAUGAAUCUUUCUAAACCACGAACAUUUUUUAAGUUGUCAACAAGAACAUGUUUUGAAGAUUCAGAAGAGUUGUAGUAAUUUUUUUCUUUAAUGCAAACAUUAUUUUCAAUUUUUGAACAUAUUGUGAAAACAACAAUAUUUUUAGAAUUUGGAAUAUUUUCAAAAUGCAUUUUUCUAAAUAUUGUUUUUUAAAUACAGUUAUUUUUUAACAAAUGGCAAUAUUUUUUAAAUUUUGAAAUACAUUUGGCAGAACUAAAAAAAUUCCAAACAUUUUUAGAAUAGGAACACAUUUAUGUAAUUCGUAUAUUUUUAUGAAUUCUUGAAUAAAAAUGAAAUUGCGAUAUUUUCCGAAAAUUUUGAAUUUCAGAAAAUACGUAGAAAAUAGACUUAGAAUGUGAAAAGUAAAAAAUAAAUACGAAACAAAAAGAGAACUAAGCAGAAAAAUAAAAAUGGAAACCGAACACAAGCAUAAAUCGGCCGCUGAGUUUUGGGCGCCUUGUGCGUACCUGAAACUAUUUACCGCCUUGUGCGGGAAAUAGGAUUUUUUGUUGCUACAUGGGCAGGAAAAAAUGGGCUGAAUUUACGGGGCCAUAGUGCGCGCGGCCCAUGUACGAAAUUUUGCACAAAUUGUUUUUCCUUUGCUAAUAGACGAACAUAGAAAGUUUAGUACCACCUCGGAAAGAAAAACAAUAAUUUUUUGGCGGUGAACGGAUAAAAAAAUCGGAGAAACGCACCUUGCUUUAUUAGUAGGUAUAUAUAGAUAUUGAUAUAGAUAUAGAUUGCUCAAGGUGAAAAGCUAAGGCUAUCCUCUUAAGAAAAAAAACGAAGUUAUCUUCCUCGAAAGAAAAACAAAACUAUGUUAUAUAUCCUCCUCUCAAUCAACAAAAUCACCUCUCCUCGAGCAAGCCAACUCUGACUGCACCAUGGGUAAACGUCAAGAUCCCUCCGAACGAUACACGAGAACCGUCUCGGCCACUGCCAAACAAUUGGCCACAAGCUUCGACAACAUAGCAGCUUGGAUUUUGCCGAUGAACUUUGCUGGGGAAAAUUGUAAGCCUCGCACCGAUCUAGUCCAGCGCAAUCUCUGGAGAGCAGCGUCCACUGAAACCAUCUUCAUGGAGUCAUCGUUUCCGCAGGCGCCCCUCCACACACAGCUUCAUCUUCUUUGUUACAACAAGAAACAAGCAUAGGCACACCCAUUGGCACACCCGACUGUCAAAUUCAGAAGGGCCAACCACGACCUAGCUCCGCUCGCCACCAUUGUCGUCGCCACGAGUGCCAACACCAACUACUCGCAUCAUCAGCUGUGCACCAUCCAACCGUGAGAAUGUGCAUAUCCAACCCAGGAAAAGUGUGGAGGGGAACAAAUCUUCAAGACGGCGCCCUAAGUGGGGAGCGAUGCAGAAAUAACAAUGUUGUCCGACCCUGCAACAGGGACCUUAGGCUUUUACUGAAGACAUCCCAAGGGUGACCAAGAUGGAAGAGCUGCACGGCGACCCUCCAAGAAGGAAUAACGACACUAGCAACCGCCACAUCAUCAUUGAUGGCAUAAUCCAGGCAAGCCUUUGCCCCGGAGGAACAAACGUGCACAUACACCCCCACUAGACAAAAUACUGCCUUACCUAUAGACAAAUCAGUUCUUUUUUGGGCGAGAUAAGCCCAAAGUAAUCUGUGCAAAUAUUCUCUGUAAAUUCAAAAUCUAUGUGUAUUAUAUGUAGUUAAUCAACAUUUUACCGCCCAAAUUAGAAUCCUAGCCACUUUAUACCUCGAACUUUCAUUAAAUGUGUCUAGACUUACGUAUUGAGUGCACCAUGCAUGCUGCCAAGCCAACCCGCGUUGAAUCGCGCCAUAAAUUUCCUUAAGUUUAAAUUUCCGCUAGGAUUUACCUUGUAAAUAAGUUUCCACCGUUCUUACUAGCACAAAUUUAAAGCUUUGGGGUAAAUCCUUUCUGCAUAAUCCCUGUAAAAAAUGAUAAAAGUAAAGGUACAAAGUAGAAAUUUUAAUAUAUAUCAUCACACAAUCAUAGUACAACCAGCACACACAUACAAUUAUCAUCCAUACAAGCCAGAAAAGUAAGUCAGAACAAUCACAAGAUUUACAUGGGCAUCAUACCCUAAUCUUGAUUGAUCUUGACAUUAUAUAGCACAGAAUGACUUGAUGGUGGUGGGUUACAACACACCACUUAUUUAAUCCAGCAGGCAAUAUAAGUCACGAGUAUACUAUAUCUGGCGCGGUUGAUGUACUCGAACAUCUCAUCCCAGCGGCUCCUCUUGGAUGUGUGCUUCCACAUUUUCCUUUUCCGCUUGUGUCCCAAGUGGUGGUUUUGGUUGUGCAUUCGGGUCCGGCAGUCCAGGCAGUGGUUGUGGGUUUGGGUCUGGUAAUGGUUGUGGGUUUGGAUCAGGCUGCGGUCCUGGUAAUGGCUGAGGGUUUGGGUUUGGUUGUGGGUCCGGCAAUGGUUUUGGGUUUGGGUCUGGUAAUGGUUGUGGGUUUGGAUCAGGCUGAGGUCCUGGUAAUGGUUGAGGGUUUGGGUUUGGCUGUGGGUUNNNNNNNNNNNNNNNNNNNNNNNNNNNNNNNNNNNNNNNNNNNNNNNNNNNNNNNNNNNNNNNNNNNNNNNNNNNNNNNNNNNNNNNNNNNNNNNNNNNNNNNNNNNNNNNNNNNNNNNNNNNNNNNNNNNNNNNNNNNNNNNNNNNNNNNNNNNNNNNNNNNNNNNNNNNNNNNNNNNNNNNNNNNNNNNNNNNNNNNNNNNNNNNNNNNNNNNNNNNNNNNNNNNNNNNNNNNNNNNNNNNNNNNNNNNNNNNNNNNNNNNNNNNNNNNNNNNNNNNNNNNNNNNNNNNNNNNNNNNNNNNNNNNNNNNNNNNNNNNNNNNNNNNNNNNNNNNNNNNNNNNNNNNNNNNNNNNNNNNNNGGCAAUGGUUUCGGGUUUGGGUCUGGAAAUGGUUGUGGGUUUGGAUCAGGCUGCGGUCCUGGUAAUGGCUGAGGGUUUGGGUUUGGUUGUGGGUCCGGCAAUGGUUUUGUGUUUGGGUCUGGUAAUGGUUGUGGAUUUGGAUCAGGCUGCGGUCCUGGUAAUGGACGAGGGUUUGGGUUUGGCCGUGGGUCUGGUAGUAGCUGCGGGUUUGGGUUUGGCCAUGGGUUCAUCAACCGUUGCAGGUUUUGGCCUGGCAAUGGUUGUGGAUUUGGGUCAGGGUGUGGUCCUGGUAAUGGUUGAGCAUUUGGAUCAGGUUGUGGCUCAGGCAGUGGUUGUGGGUUUGGAUUAGGUUUAGGAUCGGGUAGUGGUUGCGGGUUUGGGUCUGGUCGUGGUCCUGGCAGUGGUUGUGGGUCUGGCAAUGGUUGAGGAUUUGGAUUUGGUUGUUUUCCUG
rnacentral:lncRNA from 1 species